GGCUUGUGAUGUGCAGGUGUAGGAUGCGACGUGGCGGUCGAUGGCGUGCGUGAAGAUCAAGCGAAAGGUUCAUACCGAUGGACCAAGAGCGGUGAAGGAUGAACGCGAGUAGGCUUGGACCGAUGGACCCGAUGAGUCCGGGCGGAGUCACGGGCGAUCCACAUGGUGCACGGAACGGCGGGAGAACAUGAUGAGAUGGAGACGGCGUCGGUCGAGUCGAGCGGGAGGCUUGGCAGAGGCCGGACACGCGUCGACAUCGAGGAGGUCACGUGGCGGUCAAGCGGAGAUGGACGGUUUGGGUGGUUUGGGCCUCAAAACCGGAGGCGAGCCCGGUGCGACCGGAGCUUCGAGAAGGAGGGCACGUGGCGUCAUCGCGAAGCUUGCGUUGAGGCGAAGCAAAGUCGUGAAGGCAGCGUGUCCAUCCGAUGUGCGGAUAAAAACUUGGACCAAAAUGCCCCUGCGUGGGUAGUUAUCCUAGUUGUAGCUGUAGGCGUAGUAGUGUCUUUUGUCCCACCUCUUUGCUUAGCAACUCAUUAUUUUUUUGGCUUAGAGGCUAGUCAUGUGCUGAGAGGAGAGAGGGAGAUUAGAGACUGAUUAUUUUUUUCUCUUAAUUUCUUCAUCUUUAGUGGGUGGAUGAAGGGAGGAGGCUAGUCCUCAUCUUGUAUAGAAGAUGUUCUUGUGAUUUAAUUUUGUUUGUUGUCUCAAAUCGUGCUAAAUCUUUGAUUCUCGAGCAUUUUUUUUCCCUAUUUGCAGAGCUAUUUUUGGGGAUUUUUCGUUCAUCAUAUUUGAGCCCGAAUCUCGUGAUUUUGGUUGAAGAGAAAUGUUGCUACGAUCUUAGGGAGCAUCUUUGGUACGAUCCCCUCCAAAUCCCACAUGGAUUCGGCCGGAUUUUGAAUUUCUCCCAAAUCGUGUUCUUCGCGUAGGGUUUCGGUUUUUCUCCAAAUCCCCGAUGAAUACUUGAGCGUUUUGAGAUCUUUAUCAUGGAUCUAUUAUCCCUUGGGCCUACGCAUCUAUGGCUCAAGUUUCGUCUCGAUUCACGGAGUAUUGAGGGCAGAUUUUUGAAUUAAAGUUCAAGCCGAGUUCUCGGUGCCUUCUGUUUUCUUUCUGUUCUUCGGUUCGAGCAGCAGGCGAGAGGCUCGUGGCGGCGCACGUCUGCACCAGAGCAGCAGGCCAGCGAGUUGCGCAGCAGGCCGGGCAGGCCGCGCCGCAGGCCAGCUCGUUACCUGGGCCGGAACGGCUCUGGUGGCCCAAGCUGCAGCAGCAGGUGCUCGCGGGCCAGGCUUUCAGCAGCUCCAGGCAAGCACGCGCAGUCCAUCCAGUGGCACCAGGCCGGCCUACACGUGAGGUAAGCUGCAGGGCAAGCUAGCUGGUCCAGCACGUGUACUAGGAAAUGAGCAGGUUGUGAUAGAACAGUGAGCUUGUCUUUGGUCCAUUGUUAAUUCCUUGCAUUUUCUAGUUAUUCUCUGUUAAGUCGAUCUCUGUUUAGUUGAUUAGUCUUUUAAUUAGUAUUGUCUCCUGUGCUAAUUAUGCUUAGUUUAUUUAAUCAAUUGCUAAUCCGUCCAUGCCUACUUAAGUAAGUGGUUAGUAGUGUUCUUGUUUUGUCUCACGGAAUAUUCAUGCUAUAUUUCCGCUGUGAUUUGUGCGUCUCUUAUCGUUCCUAGGGUGAGCUAGUCAUGAGUUGACUUGCGUCAUCUUGACGAUUGAACGCACGGUGUGCUUUAAGGUUGCGUUUCGGAUAUAGGCUUUGUUUUCGUUGAGAAUUUUUAUACGCUCCCAUUCACCCCCUCUGGUCACCCUUUCGGUCCUUCACGAAGGAUGUUAGUUUGGGCAUGCAUGGUUGUAUCUAUGUUCAAGGAACAUUCAGAUAUGAUAAUUUCAGUCAGAAGCAUGCAUUGCAUGCUGAUCAAUUGACACUUCUCCUACCUAUUACUGUACUAACUACUAAGAAUAUGUCCACGUGACCGGCACGAGAAACUGUACGUGUGCAAAAAGUGGACAAAGAGAAAUUUACGACGGACUAGAAUACAAACAUAUUUGUCCAUAUCAGUGGGACUACAAGCUGAAUGGCAAUGGGCCCGCAUCUCUAUGGCUUAACUUUAAGAAGAUGCGCUUGCAUCACUGCUGAUGCCUAAGUUUCACAUGACCUCGAUGUAUUUUUCUCAAUUCGUAGAAGAACUGAAAAGUUUUGUACAGAAAUAUAGGAGGUAAGCUCCAUUAGUGCUUACCUCUUGUUAACAGUGUGGAGAAAAUGAUGAGGUGCGUUACUAUCACUACUAGAUUUUACAUCUUUUCUCAUCGGCAUUUUGUGAAUGACUGACGGUUAUCAGUUAUUUGGAAUUUCCACACAUAGCCAAGGUGUGUUUCAGUGUUAUUAAGAUAUCUCCAAGAAUUAUUUACUACAUGGCUGAUGAUUUUUGUAUUGGGACAUAUUGGUUGGGGAUUUUUGGUUGCUAAUCUAUUUUUCUCCUCGGGAAUCAUCAAAAAUUAGACUACAAAAGAUUUGUCCCUUGAGAGAAAUAUUAUGAAGAAAAAGAAUAAUUAAAAACACUAAAAAAUGUUGAAUAUGUUGUAGUGCAUUAACUCUUUUCCCACUUGUGCUAGUAGACUGCUCACGGCUUCUUUGAGCUCUUCCUACAUUAUACAUGGGGACAUAUAAACUGUGUCUCACUCUGUGAUUGAAGUAUUGCCUCUAAAAUGUGGAGACAUCAACAGAAGAGGGACUCGCUUGGUAGCUUGGAAGAAGCUGCUUGCAGUUGCAGGCCAAAAUAUCAAGGUGGACCUGGUGUCCCUAGGCUUUUCUCCUGAAAUAAAGUUACAAGUUUUACAAAAUAUAAGCUAGCUAGACCUUGUUCAGGAUAAGCUAACCUUCGAUGUUUGUAUGCUAAUACUUCCCCCUCCACAUUGGCACAGAAAAGUUGGCUCUUUUUGUGGCAUUAUAUAAGUUCUAUCUUUGGCUGAUAAUUUCAUAGUAUAAAUUUUACUACGGUUCAAUUUUGUAAAGAUACUUUGGAGUUUAGUAUUUUACAAAAGUGAUUUCCGCAGCUUUUCACCUUUGGCAAUGAAUGUAAAAUCUCAACCAAGAAACUAUGAACAAGUGUUCGUGACCUAUUAUUAACAAGUGUUCGUGACCUAUUAUUCAUCUCCUUGUCAGUGAUGCCUUCAUCUGAAGUUCAAGAGCUAUUGAAUAUAAAAUCUAAACUUAUCUUUGAGUAAUGGCUCUGAGGAUCAAUUCUCAUAUACUUGGGGCAAUAACUGUUUCUCAAGUCAGAAAACAUUGAACCAUCAUUUGUCCUUUGCAACCUUCCCCUUUGUUCAAAUUGCUUUGCAAGUUUGAUAUCAUGCUGCCAAAGUGUCAUGAACUACAUCAUCUCCAUCAUGAUCUGGUGAGCAAAAAUUGUGCUGAAGUGGCAAAUGGACAAAGAAACCUGCUGAAGCCUGAAGAGAGAAGCAGAAGUAAUAAUGUGGAGGUCCAGCCGGGUACCAAAGACCGACAGCUUUAUCCUCAAAAAAGAAAAAAGGCCAGCAGCUUUAGGUACUCGGGCCCAACCUAAGCGGCCCAAGGAGGCCAGGCCCAAGUUCAAGACAGUAGAGUGUAUUUGUUUUCUCCCUUCCUGUUUCUUCUUGUUGAAAUGGACGCUGGCUUUACUCUGCUUCUCCUACUCUGACGAAACUGAAUGGCAAAGCUAAAUAACUCUGACGAAACUGAAUGCUGAAAUCUUAAUAAUGUUGAGCUCCAGACUCAGGCGCACCUUCGACCUGAGGGGCUUCCACGUUCCACCAGGCUAGACCGAGACUGUCCCUGCUCAUCCUGCCAAACACGCCCGUCUAGGAUCUAACCAUGUAAUCAUUUGGCAUACACUGGUUAUCACAAAUAAUUGAACGCUAAUCGAACUAGCUUCGAACAUAACCCAUUAAUCUGGUGAAGUAUAGAAUGGGUUCAUCCAUCGCUAUAUCUGCAUGCAGGAGAGAGACUGGCAGGACAAAUCGAUUUGGCCAUAAGUUCGUAACGAUAAAAUGAAUUUGGGAGAACAAUACACCGUACCAAUCCUGUAUAUACAACCCUGUUCACGAGUAGUACGAAAAAUACACAAGACGACAUCUCAUCACUACGCUCUGAUUUCUGAAGAUGACGAUGAAUUGCUGGAAAGUGUAGAAUAAGAGUGAAACCAUUCUGAUGCAAUCCCAUCCAAUCACUGAAUUUUGCCAACUCCUCGACGUAUCACUCUCCUGGUUCGGCCGCCCGGGUGACUCGACAGACGCAGCGAGGACAGGGCCGCAAGAUCCGGCGGUGGCAACCCAGCAGUCGCUGCAGAGAAUGACACCGGCGAAGACGAAGACGACCCGGUUUGGCCGCGGCUGUCAUCCUUGUCGGCUUCUUGCUGGUCUCCUUCUCCGCCACCGCUGCCUGCUUGUCGCCAAUGGGGUUAGUUCAGCUUCAUUCAGGAUGGCGGAUGAUUCCGUGAAAUUUGUUUGUACCAGCCAGAAGCCCAAAUGGAAUCUGCUGAAUUCAGUUCAUACCUUCCGCAGAACAUUGACCAAGUGCAAUUUCCAGAUGCUUCUUCUUGGGCUCCAUGUUGUUUCUACAUAAUACUCCCAGAUCAGAUUUGAUCAUUCAGAAGAGCACACAAGAAGUCAUCAAUCACCGCCCAGAUCAGAUUCAUCUGUUUGCUACAGGAAAGUGGUGAUCGAAAAGUAAAACCUGGGGAUUAAAAGAAACUUUGAAAGUGAGCAACAAGUCGACGAAGGCGCGUUACCUGAAAGAGAGGAACACGAGGCACUGUGCCCGGAGCUGCUUCAGCUGCUGCUCUGCGAAGGCCGUCGCCGCCGGCGAGGGGCGAGAGGACGGAAGCAUGCCUGCCUUUCUUCUCUGAAAUGGAGGCAUAAGUGUCAGCUUCUUCUUGGUUAUAUCAUGAUCAAGAAAAUUGCCAUUAUCGGUACAUGAUUUUUCUAAUUCAAUUUAGCAUUGCCGGCACAAGUUUGCAGUUAUCCGAUUAAGACCGGUGCUUAUAAUAUGGCGAUAUGAUUGAUACUCUUGUUUACAUUGGACUUGUUCUGAACUUCUGAUGCACGGCACUUGCGGUUAAACAACAUAAGGAUUUUUCCUGGUGCCGGACAACGGUGGAUGCAGACAGCACGUAGGACAAAAUGCAAGGAUAUUUUUAUGCAUGCGAACCUGAAAAGACUUCUUCAGCAUGGACAGCAUAUAUAAGCGCUCGCAUCAGCAGCACCAAAAUUUUCUUCUCUAAGGAUAAGAAUAUUUCUUUUUCAAGUUACAAAUUCAGAAUUAGGAAGUAGGUUAAAAUUAGAAAUUAGAAAUUGUAGGGCUUUAGUUGUAGAAAUUAGAAAAUGAUGUUUUGCUUGAGAAUCUAAGGUAUAAGAAUGUUUGUGGAAGUCGGCCAUCGUGCUGUUCCUUCUUCUGUACAUGUGGUUGUCGGCUAUCGUGCCGUUUCAUUUGAUGCAGGUUAUGGAAACCUUCACGUGCAAGGGAGGUGCUGCCGAAAAUUUUAGUUGACAGUUGUAUGUUCUUUUUUUGCAGGAGAGGCUACGUUACCGUCCUCGAGUCGUCACUUUGUACGAUAGCAAGGUGAGUCAUCCUAUACCUCUAUUUCCGUAUAAUGUUUGUAUAUCACGUAACCUAGUUAGGCGUCUCCCGUUCGAGAGAGAUACGGUUGGAAAUAUGUAGAUGUUUGCAUAUUUAUAACCGUAUUUAUUUCGAAUUGUCCACGUCACUUUGGACAGCACGAGGAUGUGUAGGUGGGUUUAGUUUUCAUAGUCUACUCCGAUCCGAGUUAGAGUUUCGGCAGCACCUCCCAAUUGUUCUCCGGAUACACAAUCUCCAUUCCAGGACGUGUAUUUGGAGAACAGCGGGGAGGUGCUGCCGAAAUUCUAUCUCGGGUCGGAGUAGACCAUGGAAACUAAUCCCACCUACACAUCCUCGUGUGGGAUUAGGACCUAACUUCACCUAAUAGACAGUAUAGGAACGUGUAGAUGCAACGUGAGUUUUUAUAUUACUCGCUGAUAUGCUAGAGGAUGGAGGAUCGUCAGUGGAUGUACACGGGCCGAUCUAAUCAGAAUUCGUUGACCGAUGAAUGGAUAAACAAGACCGAUGCUUUCUUGGAACGGGCAUUUGCAAGGAUCAAAGGAGGAAGAGAUACUUGGUGUCCGUAUAGCAAAUGUGGAAACCUGCGUCAGCAAACCAAGUUAGAAAUGGGUAAACAUCUUGUUAGGCACGGAUUUACGUCAGACUAUACCAUCUGGAUCUACCAUGGUGAAGUCGAUCGUGGGAGGGACGAGGUCAUCAGACAAUGGAUCGAGCAAUAUGAUGAUGACGCCGGGGUGGGAGACAUGUUAGAUGACUAUCAUGAAGCUCGUAGGGAGGAGGAGCCCGAGGCUACCGCAAAGGCGUAUUACGACAUGUUGUGUGCGGCACAGCAACCCCUUCACGGGCAUACCAAGGUCUCUCAACUGGAUGCCAUUGCACGUCUAAUGGCUGUGAAGUCCCAGUUUAGCUUGAGUCGAAACGCCUUCGAUAUUAUGUUGACAGUUUUUGGGAGCUUGCUCCCGGAGGGUCACAUCUUGCCAAAGUCUAUGUAUGAGGCACAAAAACUUCUUCGUGCACUUAAGAUGCCGUACGAGCAGAUACAUACUUGUCCGAAGGGAUGCAUCUUAUUUAGAAAGGAAUAUGCAGAAUCAAAGUACUGUGUAAAGUGCGAAUCGUCUAGGUUCCUGGAGGUAGACUCUGGUGACGGUCAGAAGAAGCAGCUUGCAAUUCCUGUGAAGAUCCUUCGGUACCUUCCCUUCAUACCGAGGAUCCAACGGCUUUACAUGUGUGAAGAAUCUGCGAAACAAAUGACAUGGCACAAAACCGGACGUCGAUACAAUGCUGAGAAGCUGGUACACCCAUCCGAUGGCGAAGCCUGGACAAAGUUUGAUGCGAUUUAUCAUGAGAAAGCUCGAGAGGCUCGUAAUGUACGUGUUGCGCUCGCAACAGAUGGGUUCAAUCCUUAUGGAAUGGCUGCCGCCCCGUACACCUGUUGGCCUAUGUUCGUUAUCCCCCUCAAUCUCCCCCCUGGUGUUCUCUUUCAGCGACAGAACAUAUUUUUAUCGUUGAUAAUUCCAAAACAUCCAGGGAAUAAUAUGAGUGUGUACAUGAAGCCUCUGAUUGAUGAUUUGGUCCGUGCAUGGGAUGAAGGGGUAUGGACAUACGACCGUGCUACAAGGACAAACUUCAAGAUGCAUGUUUGGUACCACUACUCCCUGCAUGACUUGCCAGCAUAUGGUAUUUUCUGUGGUUGGUGUGUUCACGGGAAGUUCCCAUACCCAGUAUGCAAGGCUUCUUUGAAAUUCAUUUGGUUGACGAAGGGUGGCAAAUAUUCUUCAUUCGACAAACAUCGACAAUUCCUUCCUCCUGACCAUCCUUUCAGACGAGAUAUUAGAAAUUUUACGAAAGAUGUCGUAGUUAACGACCCUCCACCGCAUAUGCUGACCUUAGUCGCGGUUCGUGCUCAGUUAGACGCUCUUGAGGUCAACAAUCAUGAUGGUGGUUUUGUGGGAUAUGGCGAGCAACAUGCUUAGACUCAAAGAUCAUGCUUGUGGAACCUCCCCUAUUUUGAUGAUCUUCUUCUCCCACACAACAUUGAUGUUAUGCACACUGAAAAGAACAUUGCUGAGGCAAUUUUUGGUACAAUUAUGGACAUUCCUGACAAGACAAAGGAUAACGUUAAGGCUAGAGUGGAUCAAGCAAUGUUAUGCAACAGACCAAAGUUAGACAUGGCGCCUCCCAGAGCCGGCAAGUCGUGGAGAAAGCCUAAGGCUGAUUUCAUCCUGACGAGGGCCCAAAGGAGGGAGGUAUUAGAAUGGUUCCAAACGUUAAUGUUCCCUGAUGGGUAUGCAGCAAAUCUGAAGAGGGGAGUGAACUUAGCUACUAUGCGAAUCAACGGGCUCAAAAGUCAUGAUUAUCACAUAUGGAUUGAGCACCUACUUCCGGUGAUGGUUCAAGGCUAUGUCCGUGAGCAUGUGUGGCAGGUGCUAGCGGAGUUGAGUAAUUUCUUCCGCCAGCUUUUUGCUAAGGAGUUAUCUCGGACCGUGGUUGCCGAAAUGGAAAGAAUGGCGCCUGUGUUGCUCUAUAAGUUGGAGAAGAUCUUUCCUCCUGGCUUCUUCAAUCCGAUGCAGCAUAUGAUUUUACACCUCCCUUAUGAAGCACGAAUGGGGGGGGCCUGUGCAGGGCCAUUGGUGCUAUUCAAUUGAGAGGUGUCAAAAGGUUCUUCGAACUAAAUGUAAAAACAAAUGCAAAAUUGAAGCCUCCAUUGCAGAGGCAUACAUUCUGGAGGAGGUGUCAAACUUCACAACAAAAUACUAUGCUGACAACCUUCCUAACGUGCACAAUCCACCGCCUCGUUACAAUGACAGCGAAGUUGAAUCGAGCCUUAGUCUUUUUCGAGGACAACUUGGAAGUGCAAGUGGUGCGACACAAAAAAAAUUGAAACAUAAAGAGUGGUGCACUAUCAUGCUGUAUGUAUUGACCAACCUAUCCGAGGUGGAGCCGUACAUACUGUAAGUUCUGAACAAACUAGUCUUUUCUCAAUUUGUCAGUAUUCUUCGUCCAACUCUCAUGUUUCUCGUUGGUACAGGGAAUUCCAUCGUAACUUCUGGUGUAAUUCAAGGGAACCUACCCCGCACGAAGCCGAGACUCUUCUCAAAGAGGGUGCAGGAAAUGGAAUGCCCAAUUUCAUUUCUUGGUUCAAACAUAAGUUACAGUCGAUUUUAGCUCGUACUUAGCUUGAUUAGAAGUUGACCAUACAUGCGAAUAAUAUAACGAACCACCCUACUUCAACUUGCAGGCCCAAACCGAUUCGUCUAUGAAUGUCGAGUUGAGACAGGUUGCCGAUGGCUGUGCCUACAGGGUCAAAUCUUUUACCGGUUAUGAUGUAAAUGGAUAUCGCUUUCACACAACAAGCCAUGAGCAUAGUCGGCCCAAUCGAAGAAUGACAAAUAGCGGAGUUUUUACGCCAGGCUUUGAUGGUGUAGAGUACUACGGAAGAAUUGAAGAGAUAUACGAACUAACUUUUCAUGAUUGCAAAGUUCUUAAUCCAGUCCUAUUCAAAUGCCAUUGGUUUGAUCCAUCAGUCGUGAGACGGGCACCUAAUCUUGGGUUAGUCGAAAUUCGCCAAUCAUCCGUCUUAGAAGGAGACGAUGUAUACAUUGUGGCUCAACAGGCCACGCAAGUUUAUUAUUUGUCAUACCCAUGCCAAUCCGACGACCGUCUUAAAGGUUGGGAUGUUGUGUACAAGGUAUCGCCGCACGGUAAAUUACCUGUACCAAACAAUGAAGAUUACAACAUUGACCCCAACACAUAUGACGGAGAUUUUUUUCAAGAAGAUGGGCUCAAAGGGAAUUUUGAGAUUGAUUUAACCGACGCUUUCGGAAUGGAAGUGGACAAUGAAAUGGUUGCUGACGAUGACGCUGGAGAGGAGGUUCAUAAUAUGAAGGAGUUAGAAUUACUUCAGCGGUUACAGUUAGGACAGGAGAUUGAUGAUGACACUCCUCCUUCGGAGCAUGAGAAUGAUUUUAUUGACACGCGUGACAGCGAUGAUGAUGAGACUUAUGAUCCAGCUAAUCCUAAUCAUGACGAUUAUUUCUAAGACAUGUAUGGGCCGUACAAAUUUAUUUAUUAUUUGUCAUACCAUGUUAUUUAUUAAGUAUGUUUACUUUAUUUUGCACAUCUUAUACAUUAUGUUUUGUUUAUCUGUGCUAAUUGGUUAACUCUUGGCAAAUGCAGGUGACUCAACAAUGGUGGGCGGUACGAGGAAGAUUGCAGCGCUUUACGAAAAAUUAAAAGCUGCAGGUUCAGGGUCAGGUACAAGGUCAGACGCAUGGAGAGGUCGAGGGAGGCGUCGAGGGAGGGGUGGAGGCAGGGGUGAUGCACAGGCCGAGGAAACGGAGGGGGCACAGGUCCUUGCUAGAGGCAGGGGUCUGGGCAGGGGUCGAGGAAAGGGUAAAGGGGUGAGGCCCCCCUCGCCUGCGCCUUCGUCGUCGUCUGAGGAGGAGGUACCUUCCGCGCACGCCUCUAGUGACGAGGCGGAGGUACAGCAGGAGCAGGAGCAGGAGCAGGAGCAGGAGAGGGAGGCAGGGGAGGAGGCAGGGGAUUCGCAGUCCAAGAUCUGGUUGCGAGGUCCCUCAUCCCUCCCGAGGUGACCGAUCCCUCUUCAUUUACGCCCACUGAUUCAUCCCACUGGGGCAAAGUAAGUUCCUUUACAUAUUCUCAGUACUUUUGAUAUGCUGAAAUUUACAAUAGAAACUAAUAUUCUAUAUUACUCACUUGUGCAGGAGUUGGACUAAGCUCAGUGGGGGUGCCCACAACCGGAAGGUCAACGGCAUCGUUGGUCUUUUGUGUAGGCUACACUUCCCCGGUCUAGUGGUCUUCACUGGACAGGAGGAGCCGGCCUACACGUGGGACCACUACGUCGCCGCCGCCGACGUCGGUGAUUGUGACCACAGGCAAUUUGCGAACAAGGCAGAGCGGGUGAAGGCCGAGCUGUGGGUAAGUACUCGGAGCACUAGAUUGCUUAAUACACUAGCUUCGCUAGACAUUCUUGAAAAAAUAAUUGUUUGCAAUGUGUCUAUAUGCAGGACUUUUAUAGAUGCCAGGAGGGAUUCGAGGCUAGGGCGGCCUCCGUCAUUGAACAAGCCGCCAAGAAGCUCGUUAAGGACAUGCAUUACGAGGCGCGGGUUCAGGCCAUCAUCGACUUCUAUGCUGAAUACAAAAGGAUGAGGGUCAAAAAAGAAGAGGCCAGGACAAUGAACCUGACCAAGGAAGAAUUCAUGAUGGUACGUACAGAAAGUUAAUAUUUACUAUUUUUGAGAUUAAUUACGCUUCACUUCUUUUGUUAUAUGUCACACACUUGAUGAUGUAGGUGCCUCCGUGGUGGUGUCGAUCCUUUACCCAGUGCUGGGAACAAAUGGUGGACGUGUGGUUGCAACCCGGGUGGUUGGAGAACCACAUUGCUUGCCGGGAGCGGCGUCUGCAGAUGCCAUAUGCACCACACCAUCAAGGCAGCCUGAGCCUUGAUGAAUACAAGGAAAAAUGGGUACGUGAAUUCAUUUCUUUAUUCUCACACAUAAUGCACAUAAUACUGCAUAUUUUGUAAUCCUUUUGUAUUUUUGCCGCAGACGUCAUCACAUGAAGGCCAGGAGUGCUCCCGGUUCAAGGCAUGGGUUAUGUCCAAAAAGGGCAAGGCCACGGCAGACAUCGACUUCAACCCGGAGGACCCGCCCGAGGCAUACAGCCAUCCCAGCAUCCACAGCCGCGUCACCGAGUACACAGCAAUGGCGAGGGAGGUUCAUGGGCCAGAGUUCGAUCCGAGCUCUCAGGAUAUUGAUGCUGAAAUUGUGAUGAGGGUGGGAGGAGGGAAGAAGCAUGGCAGGUAUUGGAUUGGAGAUAGCGUGAUCGACACUGCCAGUACUCCCACCCUCUCCCAGAUCCGAGCAAGGAGCACGGACUCGAGCCCUGCGAUACGGGCACGGCCUACCGCUGCACAGUUACAGAUGCAGGCUCUGCAGGUUAUUCCUGUUUCUUUAAUUUUUCAUUCAUUUUGUACAUAUCUUGGCAUUGGCAAUAAGACAUUGGGAUGAAAUAUUGUAGGCCUAGGUGGAGGUAGAACGGAAGCGCCGGGAGGAACUAGAGGCGAGGAUCGAGGCGGAUCGGCAGCUAGAAAGGCAGAGGACAGAGUAGAUGUUCCAAUACAUGCAGAGUGUCUUUCACAGUUUAGGUCAGACUCCACCACCUAUGCCACCGAACCUAUUCCUGCCACCUCCACCACCUCCUGCAGCUACUCCUGUGAGUCACUCUCAACCUUACAAUCAAUCUAGAGUUAAACUAGAAACUGCAGGCACUACAGACUUACACUAGAAAAGUGACUAAUGCAAUCUCUAUAACUUUGUGCAGAAUCAAUCGGCGGCGUCCAAUGCAGAAUCUUCUUGGGGGCAGUGGCCACCUGCACAUACUCCUCAGCUUCCUCAUCCACCUCAUCCUCCUCAUCCUCCUCAGUGACUUGUGAACUAGAGGUGUUAGCUGUGGUAAAACUUGUGAAUUACCUGUUUUGACGAGAACUUGUGAAUGUUAUUUGUGUGCUUGUGAUGCUUGUGGUGCAAUUUAUAUGCAUGUGGUGUAAUUUAUAUGCAUGUGCUUCUCUAGUUGUUUUUUGAGAGGGGUCUUUUAUACGUAAUAUUUCUGUUUGUGUAGUAGGUGGGUGGAUACUUUGCCGAGUGUUAACACUCGGCAAAGAGGCCAUUUUCUGUUACAUCGAUGUCUUUGCCGAGUGCAUUGCCAAAACACUCGGCAAAGGUGUCAUAAAAUUUUUGCGGGAUUGUCCUGUUUGCCGAGUGCCAAGAGGAAGGCACUCGGCAAACUAUGCAACUUUGCCGAGUGCCACUGGGAAACACUCGGCAAACGGCUCAAAGAAAUCUGGCGGGUGGGGCCUCUUUGCCGAGUGCCGCAUAAAAUACACUCGGCAAAGAUAUUCUGUUUGCCGAGUGUCAUCUAAAAUACACUCGGCAAACUGUGUACCUUCACCGAGUGCAAUAUAUAAAUACACUCGGCAAAAUUUAAGGAUUCGUCGAGUGUCUGCCGUCUGACACUCAGCAAAGUAGCUGUUACCGUCACUAACCGUUAUCGCCUUUGUGCCGAGUGUUAUAUUUUGCCGAGUGUAUUGUGGCACUCGGCAAAGCCUUUGCCGAGUGCCCGACGGUCGACACUCGGCAAACCCACUGUUUGCCGAGGGAAACUUUGCCAAGUAGAGUUCGUCGAGUGUUACACUCGGCAAACCCUUUGCCGAGUGUAUUUGGACCUUGGCCGAGUGCUGCAAGAAUGUAAGGUGGAGCAGAAUCAGUAGUAACAUCAGACAAAAGGAAGUUGGAGGAGAAGUGAAAAACAAAAUCAGGUUUGCCCAAAAACUGGUUUACAUCUACUAGCCAAAAUUAUGAUCCAGCUAACUGCACUGUCUAAAUAACAUCAGGCUGCCUAAGUCCACAACCAUCAUAAGCAACUUUCAGAUACGUAAAAAGGUAACGAAUGACCAGAGACCAGACAGAUCAUGCAAAACCGCAGAAUAUAUACAAAUAUAAGAGCCCAACAGCCCUGAAGCAGAAAUCAAUCAGAUGCCAAGUUGGAGGCAUUGAUGGAUUUCCAAAGCUCAUGCAUCAGGCCGAGAUGUCAAGGAAAUGUGCCAAAAACAAACUUGCACUGAACGAAUCGAGGUCCUCGUCCUAGCCAUCCAAAUGUCCUAUGUCGAUAAAUUUUUUUUCUUUUCUAAAGAUGGCUAGAAAGUAUACAAUGUUAGCGCUCUCUGUAUAUAAUUAUACGUUGAAAAAUAUGAAACUAUUAUAAACUCGUACAAAUGUAGAGCAGCAUAUAGAUCAAUAAAUACGCAGAAUGAAAUAUUCUAACACCUCUUGAGAUGUACUGUGCCAAACAAAUAAGAAAAAUGUAAAAAGAAAAAACAUCCUUUCACCAUUGGCUCACGAAUGCACACCAACAUUGAAACCAGAUUUGGAAGAUAAUGAUCACAGAUGGUAGGGAAUGGCUCACAUACGUACCCUGGAUUACAGAUAGAUACUACUACUGCAGGGGCUACCAUGAUUUUGCACCACAUUUAAAGGGGGCGUUGAUUGCUGAUAGAAUAUAAUGAUUUUCACUACCAUAUUUAGAUUAGCAAAUCAUUAACGCUCACCACAUUCUCCCCAUACCAAAAUUAGUAGCCAAAAGGUAACGCACACUACAUCAAACCGUACCAAAAUUAGCAACCACAAUUGGACUUUGCAUAUCCAUCUCGCGGAGACCGCAUUGAAGGCCAGCCCUCAAUCGCCUCUAUAAAACGGAACACAUCAGCUCUCCUAGCAGUCACAUACCUCUCACAAAUCCCUAAGCGCUGCACAUACAGCCAUAUCGUCGUCCAACACGAAAAUAGUCGUCGUCUGCUUCACCUUGGCCUUGCUCGUCGCGUCAUAUGGUGGUGGGUUCCCCGGAGAAUUGAACAUUCAGCUCACGAUUUCGGGAAUACAACACUAGCAAAUGCUUUGAAAUCCUGCUAAACUUUUGUGCGUGGUUGCAGGCGCACAAAAGUCAUCCUAGUGCGUGCUAAUUAGGGAGUCCCGCUAAAAAGGAGGAAACUAUCAUAGACUAGUUUGUUGCCAGACGAUCGGAUCAUAUGAAUAAUGCAGCAUUGCUAGCUGUUCCAUGAACUUGGACGUACAUGCUGAUGCAUACGUAUUGCACUGAGAAAAAUCACGGCACGCUAAUACUCACCCAUGUCAUAUUAUCACGUAUGGAAAUAAAACUAAUUGGUUAACAUGAAAAAAAACAUGUUACAUUGUCACAUUACAAAAUGGUAUGCAUAGUUAAAUUGUCAUACCUGAUCACGUAUGAAAAAACCACGAUACGAAAAUGUUGCAUUGUUAAAUUCAUUUAGUCAAGUUACAAAACCAAAAUAGAAAGAUAUUUUUCCUAUUAAUCAUAUUUUCAAAAUUAAAAUAUAUAAAUAAAUAUUUAAUCUAUAGGAGGUAAUAAGGGUAUUGUAUCCAUCUAGAUGAAAGGUCCACAAUCAUUUCGAAAUAAUGCUCUUUUGCACAAUAAUUAAUAGGCUAUAGAUAGGUGGAACGAUAAUUGUAGACCCUAUUUUAAAGGGGCAUUGAUUGCUGAUGCUAGGGAAUAGAUAGCUGAAACAGUGAUUGUGCACCCUAUUUAAAAGGGCAUUGGUUAAUAUCAUAUCUAGAGGAUCAAGUCAUUCAUUAACUUCUAAAACCAAAAGAUAGUUGCAAACUCAGCGUAACGUUGCUUGUGGUGGAACCUGCCCACGAGGAUUCAAGUCCUCCAUUCAACACUCGUUCUCUCAUUUUUCUAUAUUUAUUCCAGGAUUUUCAUCAGCGUUACUCUUUCAACGGUAGGCGACGUGCCCAUUGAUAGCGAGACGCCAGUGGUGACUUCAUCAAUCUCGAGUAUCUAUCAGAUCUUGAAGAUCUCAUAGGGGUAGAGUUACGUGCGUGUAUUCAUAGGAUUGACUGUACGUGCGUUUGUGAACGUAUGCGAUUGCACUGUGUUUAAAAAAAGUAUUAAGAGUAUCUCCAACAAUAUUUUUUUCCUAAUAACUAUCAUAUUAAGGAAACAAGAGCUCCAGAAAAUCCUCCCCUAAUAAUUAUUGGUUCACCCUCAAUAACUCACCUCAACGGGAAGGAAGGGUUUACUCUCCCCGACCAUUAGUUUUUGCCGUAGCUCCAUCCCUUGCCUGAGCCACUGCCGCUGCCUAGGCUCCUCUCGACGCCCUCCUGCCCAUCCUGCGCCAUUUAUGUGGUGCUGCUUAGGAUUGAGAGAAAGAGAGGGAGGGAGAGAGGAGUAUUCGGGAUCUGCUGCAGCAUGCAUCCUCAAUAAGUCUGAGAUCCUAUAGUAGUUAUUGGGAAGGUUAUUGGGGGACUGCUAAAAAAUGCUUUAAUGCACACCAGAUCCCACGAUACCAAAAUUAGUAACCAAUAAAAUUUGCAUAUCAUUCAGGAUAGAAGGAAUUGAAGGCUAGCCUGCCAACACCUCUAUAAAAUGGAACACGUUGGCUCUCUAGUCAUAUGCCGAUCGAACACACAAAACCACUAAGCAGUCCAACGCCCCCCCAAAAAAAAACACUAAGCACUCCACAUACAGCCAUGUCGUCGUUCAACACGAAACUAGUCGUCUUUGGCUUCACCUUGGCCUUGCUCGUCGCGUCACAUGGUGAGUCCCUGGAGAAUGCUCAGCUCAAUGUUUCUGCAAAACUCUAGUGAUGCAUCCAAAUAAAAAUUAAAAUUUGUGGUUGCAGUUGCGACAGCAUCGUUCUGCGAAGAGACGACGGCGAUCUCUUGCAGCUCCAGCAACGACAUCUGUGAGACCACCUGUCUGAACAGGACAGGUAGUGGCCGCUACAUCGGUGGCUACUGCUCCAGCGACAGCGUAUGCAUAUGUAGGAAGACCUGUGGUGGUGGGCCCCCGUCGUCGUCGACGGCGCCGCGGGACGAGCCAGCGACGGCGACGACGUCGGGACAGCGUGGGAUGAGAGUUCUCAACUGAUUCAGUGGCACUGGAUUGGCUAGCUAGGGGCAUAUUGAGAAGAACAGAAACGUUUCGAUCGAUCGAUCUGCGCGUAUGCGUAGCCAAUAAAUUUGUAGUGAAUCCAUGUCAAUAUUAUGUUUCGGAAAUCUGGUACUACUAGGACAUAAGCUUUCUUUUGGUUCAAGGAAACAUCUAUUAAUCUAGGAAUAACCUCUAACGAGCAGUCCAUUGUAGAGCUCCUGUGUCGCCCCGCUCGGGCGACUCAGGCGGCGACUGCACACCCUCGCCGCCACCACCCCCUUCCUCUCCUUCCCUCCCUUCGCCGCCGCUGGAGGGGUCUGCAGGAAGCCCGCGCCGGCCCCUAGGAUCCCCUAGGAUCGAUGGCGGCGACGGGUUCUUCCUGCCCAGUUUUUGGCCGUGGGCGCCUGUCCCGGGCAGGGGAACGGGGCUGGGUGGCCAUGGUGGAUCCGCCGGCCAUGGUGAUGGCGGCGGCUUGGGGAGGCGGAUCCGGCAAUACCGGAUCCGUGCGGUGGCGGGAUAGUAAGUCAACGGAGGUCUUGGGUAAGUGGCGCGGCUCGUGGCGGUUGGACCCGGGCACGAAGGUGGACGCGGUGGCCCGGCCUAGCAGCGCACUGCUUGUGGGAAGAAGGAUGCGGUGACCACGGCGACUCGCCUGUGGUGGAUCUGGGAAGCCGCGAGGUCGUGGCCACGUGCGGUUGCGGCAGGAGGAUGGCUGUUGGCGCGGUGGCGACUCCGUGCAAGAGCAGUGGUGGCCAAUUGAGGGAGCGGAGGCCGCGCGUGCGUGAAGGCACGUGGCACACGACCGGCCAGCGGCGGCGGACGGAGAGCGGUUGGUCCGGCAUGUGGCCACGUGGCGGCAGCAAGGUGGCGGCCCAGGGCAGGGCGAGCGACAGGCCGGAGUGGAGCGUGGAGCGACCCUGUGCAGCAGACCGUGGCUGCCGUGCGAUGGCGUCGCAAGGAGAGGAGGUACGACAGCAUGGCAGGGGGAGGCACGACGGCAGCGCCGUCCCGACGGGGUUUCCAUGGCUACGGUCCUAAUACUGUUUGGCUGUGCGCGUGCGGUGGCUUGGGAUGGGAUGCUCCGGGCAAAAGCCUUUGCUGGCAAUCUUGCUGGUGUUGAUGGCGGCGGCACCCUAGGGCAUCGUUCUUCCCGUUGGGGGUGUUAUGUUCAAGCCCCACCCCUACCUGCAUAGGGUUCUCUAGGUGAAAACCCUAUCCAGAUCCUGGAUGAGCGACGACGGCGCCAUUGGCAUCAUGCUCUCCUUGGAGGCGUCCCUUCUAGAGACCCAACUCGGCUUCUAGCAAUACGGGUGACGCUGAUGGUCAUGGAAGACUACAGUCAGGGGCAUGCUGCAGGAUGGCGAGCUUGACGGGGAUUGCUGACCGCACAUGGUGGCGAUUGUAGUUGUGGUGGCAGCUGGGGUCUCCGCAUGCUUGUCGGGUUGGUUGCUUGCAGCGGACCACAACGGCUGGCACUGCUUGCAACUGUCAGUGCGGCGUGGGACUGCAUCGAAGGACAGCGCUUGCGGCACCGACAACAUGGGAAGAUUAGGCUUGCAGCGGACUGUGGCGGGUUGCUCAGCUUUGCUUGGGCUACUCCGGUGUGGUACAUUGUCAGCAGACCACACAAGUGACAUCUUAGGCUUGCUGGUACGGUAGCAAUGGACAUGUGCGCGGGUUAAGCAAUGAGGUGGAGUCAACCUGCGGAUGGCAGCAUCGCUGUUUGAUGGAGACCUUGAGGAGCAGGGCGACAUUGCUCACCAUUCUGAUGGUGACAUAUAAAAAAUGGAUGGAUUACUAUGGUGGACAUGGUAAGACCCCCGCACGCGGUGGUUUUCUUCGAGGCGAUGAGAGUGAGGUGGACUCCAACAACGGAUGUGGCGAGGCCCCCGCGCGUUGUGUUAUCAUGGUGGUGACCGCGAGGCAACAUGCGAGAGUCCGGAUCUGAUGGAAUCACUCUGUCGGGUGGAGUGUGGUGUUGCAACAACACUAUGACGAAGGGUUCCGCAUGGAGGUAGCCUUCUCGGUGAGGUGUGGUCUGUUUUCUCUAGUUCCUGAUGACACGGAGUUGCGCCUGGAGGUUUCGACGAACUCUUAAGCGUGAGAAUGUUUGGUGGGUGCCAUGAUAAAGGCUUUGGUUCUGCCACCAUGGCGAGUGGAGUGGUGCGGCCUCGUUGACGUUCCAAUCCAACCGGUCUAGUGUGACGAUUUCGAGUUGAGUGGCUACCCGCGUUGAUAUCCCAUUCGAACCGGGCGAGUCUUUUUUAUUUUUCUUUUCUUUUCAUUUUACUGCCUAUAACCUCCAGAGCUGUAGUCUUAUAUUUUUUUUCUAUAUCAACGAUCUUGUGCGGUUAGUUAAAAAAAAGAAACAUCUAUUAUCUUGAUAAGAAUCUUCUAUGUAUCUCAGUAAUAUGCAAAAAGAAUCAAUAUUAUAACUCUCGAGGUCUAGAAAAUUUUCAUAUUAAUUAUAGGAAGAAGACACUAUCUCCCACCAUUGGCUUGGUAUAUGGCCGGAUUUUGACGCCUGCUGGUCUAACACGCAUGCAUACGUGAGAGAUACGUGCACUUCAGAAAGAUUCAUGCCACUUCUUCUUUCCUCUACAUCACGCAUGUCCAUACGAGCUUCAGAACAGCAACAAUUGCCAUCCACAACCUUAUCCUUGUCCGAAACCGCUAUAAAAUGAAAUCCCCAAAAUGGAGCCCACGUCAGGCCACGUCUACUAUAAACAACGCCCGUUCGAUCCCUGUCUUGUUUCAAUCAAGCGGCCAAAACACGAGCUAGCGUAGUUCUUUUCCAGCACAUUCGUGAACAUGCACUACAUUGCUUGCUUGAGCUGUAGUGCGGCUCGGCUCCAUAAAUCUCAGGACUCUUCCCGUACCAACGCGCGUUACUCGAGUUGUCGUGUCGUUCCCCUUUCACUAUUGUAGCAUAUUUUUUCUCCAACAACGCUUACAAUUCCAAUCGCUGCUAACUCGCACAAAAUAAACUCCCUGAAGGGCAAUAAAAAAACCUUGAGCACAUCUCUCGAGAGAAGAAAAAAGAAUUCCCGUCAACAUACUACUCGGCCUAACCCAAAAUACUCUCAGCAACAACUUUGCCGAGUGUUACACUUGGUGUCUGGCACUCGGCAAAAUUUCACUCGGCAAAGUAACCUUCACCGAGUGUUUUCGGUCGGGCACUCGGCAAAGCUUUCACUAAGUGCCCAGAAAACACUCGGCAAACCAUUUUUUCGAAAAAAAUAAAAAAAGGCACGCCGACACCGUCGGCCGCACCACCAGCACGUCACCACCAUCCACGCCACCGCCGCCGCCACCACCACAGCCGGCCACCAUCCACGCUUGCCGCCAUCAUCCACGUCGCCGCCGCCGCCACCACCACCACAGUCGGCCACCACCACCACCAUAGCCCACCAACCACCACGAGCUGCCUCCCGCCGGCCACCACCACAUCUCCACGCCGCUGCUCCUGGAGCCCCCGACGCGAGUCCCUACCGGAUCCGGGGCCCCCGACACGAGUCCUCGCUAGAUUCGGGGAGGAGGGGCGGAGUCCCCGCCGGAUCCGGGGAGGAGGGGCGGUGCGGCGGCCGGAUCCGGCCGGAUCUGGGGAGAGGGGCGGUGCGGCAGCCGGAGACGCCGUCGGAGAGAGGGGCCGGCCGCGCGAGGGAGGGAGGAGGGGAGAGGAGGGGGAGGGGCGCCGGUAGGAGAGGGAGAGGGAGAGGGAGGGAGGGAGGGAAGGAUGGUGGCGGCGGCUAGCCGGCGGCGGGGAGAGGAAGGUGGGGCGGGGGGCGGUGUUGCACGGAGGAAGAGGAGUGGGGCGUUGGGCGGGUGCAUGGGUGCGAGCCGAGGGCAGUGUUGCGUCGGGCGGGUGGGGUGCUGGGGUAGGGAGCCGGGACGGGAGAUAUAUUUUGUGAGAUUUGCCGAGUGUCCUGAUCUGGACACUCAGCAAAGAUUUUUUUUUAAAAAAAAUUCUUUGCCGAAUGUGAAAAUAAAACACUCAGCAAAGCCCUCUUUGCCGAGUGUUUUUUUUAACCCUCGGCAAAGUCCCUUUUUGCCGAGUGUUUUUUCUCUGCCGAGUGUUUGUAGCUCGGCACUCGGCAAAGAGCUUGUUUGCCGAGUGUUCGAAAAAAAUACUCGGCAAAGAAAAAACACUCGGCAAAUUUACGGUUUCCGUAGUGAGAAGCAUCUCCAAAAACCUGCGUCAUUAUUGCAGAACAGGAGUCGAAAUACUGGUAGAUUUGACAAGGUAUGUUUUUCAUAAAACGAUGAUGCUUCUGUUUCCCAGGCCCCAAAUAUGUGACCCAAAUGUUAUCUGAAUUCAAACAGGAAAGGUUCUAAGCACUCCAAUUAUGUCGCUUCUCUCUACGGCUAAAGAUAAAUCAAUAAAUUCAUAGUGUGUUUACAUUCCAAUUAUGUUAAAGAAACAAGGAAAAAUCCAAAUUACUUCAAAUAUAGAAAAAGUCUGAAUAAGCCUCUAAACUUUUUCUUAGUUUACUUUGCCCCUAAAUUAUACCAUUUGGUUCAAUUUAUCCGUACUAAUUUAUUAUUUUAUUUCUCCAUGCAUAAAUGAAGUCUUAAGUUAAUUUGUUUCGAGAUAAUUGCAGGUAUCAUAACUCAUCAACGUAUUAAAAAAUACAUCAUAUGUUUUAUUCUUAUUAUUUUAAUAGGGUAUAACAUUUAAUAAUAAAUUCUUGGGAUACAAAAUUAUAUAAAAAUAAUGAUGAAAUGGAAACAGCAGCUAAACCCACACGAAGGGCGUGGCAAAGCCGCCCGAGGUUUCUAGUAUGAAAUGAGUUCUGGACCAAUAUUUUUAUUAGCAAGGCCUGCUAGAUCAAAUGAGUUUUGGACCAAUAUUAUUUGAGCCUCGAACGUAGACACAAUUUAUUUUUCUCCCAUGGCAAGGCACAUGCAUUGUUGCUAUAACACAGAAAGAAAAUAGGCAACCAAACUAGCCACAUAUACACACCGGAGACCUUUCUAGCCAUUAGGAAAUGAUCGACAACUAUUGUGUCCAAAUUUAGUAGCCACUGAAGGCCCUUCUAAUACUGGUUGGUGUUACAACUCUCCUCGAGAUUUUAGGAUCCUUUAUGGAUUACUUCAAAAAUAAAAUCACCUCCUAUUUAGGGUCUAUUAGGUUAGGAUAUAAGCUAUGGAAAAGCUGUUGUAGGUUGUGAGCUGUGGAAAAAGCUGUUCUGAGCUGUGGAAAAAGUUGUUGUGAGUUGUGAGAAAGCUAAAAGCCGUUCGGUUGGAAUAGCUUUGAAACUGUAGGUUUGGUAAGAAAUGUCUGUAAUGCCCCUAAAGGUCUGCGAGACUGUUGAUAUUCAAAUUGAUCGUAAAACACCGUGUUGUACUUUUUCACAUGCAAAUUACCAAUUUAGAAAGGGAUUUUUUUUAAAGUUUUGCAUCCACCGUUAACAUAUGGUCCACAUAAAUACAACGAUAGUAUUUUACAAAAGAUAUAUGGUUCAUAUAAUGAUGUCCUCCGUUAACAUGAUUAUCUCUCUUUUGCACUAACCAAAGCAUCAGCUAUUCUACUGCGAAUGGUAUUCAUGGUAUCCUCAUUCUCUCCAUCAUCUGGAUUGUCAUCUCCUUGUGUUGCCAUGGCACUUGUCUGGUGUAGUAGGUACCCCUCAUCCGCAUCACAUCUAUCGAACUCCCUAUCCAAAUUGCUGUCACGGAUAAAAUUAUGUAAUGCCAUACAAGUUAGAAUUAUAUGCCUCAGAGUACGAGUAGGAAAACUUGGAAUGCCCUUCAAAAUACGCCACUUCUACUUCAAGACUCCGAAAGUCCACUCAAUGACAUUUCGAAGAAUGAAUGCAAGAAAUUCGUACUUCCCUUGAGGAGCACGCCCAUUACAAAGUUGAAACUCUAGUAUACAGUAUGUGCUUCCUUUAAAAAGGCAAGAUAUCCUAUUCAGUUUGGAUAACCAGAGUCCAUGAGGUAAUAUUUACCUAUAAAACCAAAUCAACAAAGGCAAAUAAUAAUAGAAAUAUUGAUAACUUAGUACAAAAACAUGUAUACCUUUAGGAGGCACGGGAAAUGAAGGAAAAUUUGCUAACGCAUGAGUCAAGAUUCGUAUGUCAUGUGCAGAGCCCGGCCAACUAGCAACCACAAAGAUAAACCUUAUGUCAAAAUCAAAAACAGCUAGCACAUUCUAAGAUGUGUAGCCAUGUCGACAUGUGUGGUUGACCACCAUGUCGACAUGCGUGGUUGACCACUUCCUUUGCUGGCACUAUUACUGGAACAUGUGAACCGUCAAUACAUAGGUCUAAUAACACCUUUGAAAUAAGGCUAGAAAUGGUCCUCUUUGGCCUUAUCAUGCUCAGUAGAGAAAGUAGGAUCCCUUGUCUUGAUAUUGUCCUUUUAACUUGCGCAAACAAUUCAGCACUUCAUGAAAUUUAGUGUGAAAUAUCCAGAGUGACUAGGUAAAAUAAUUUUCAGCUUGUGAAAAUGAUUGGGGUCAUCCAACGAUCCGCAAGAAUAUCGCCAAUGACUCCAUUGAUGAUACAUUAUUACUUGAUGUCAAACCAUAGUUCGAGAUUAGCAAGUCAUGCAGUGCCAUGAAAACAUAAGUGCUCACUCAAAACAUCUUAUAGAAGUACCUCGGACGACCCAUGCACCUCAUAACCCAUUGAAGUCCAGUUUCUGGUGUUUCCUUGUAUUCUCCUUUGUACAAAUACCAUUCAGUGCACUGGUAACCCAUUUGACCGAUAAUGGUAGCCUGCUGGGAAAGUUCACCUAGAAACAGUAGACCCUUUUGACCUUUUUUUGCCAAAUCUUCCAUGUUGCUAGCCAUCUACACAAGAUAUUAAUGUAUUAAUGAUUAUGACAGCAAUGAUAUGUGCAGAAUCAAAAUGUGGACAACAAUGACACAAUCAAAAUGUGGAUAGCAAAAAUAUGAAUAAUAAUGGCAUGACUAAAAUAUGUACAACAAUGAUUUCAAAUGGUUCUCAGAUAACACAAGCAAAUAAUCUUUUAGAGCACAAGUAACAUUAUUUCAAAUAGUUCUCAAAUAACAAAAGCAAAUAAAUGGUUCUCACAAUACAACAUUAGGAAUAAAUAACCGAAAGCUUCUACAUGUGCUUCAUCAACUCCUUUGCAUGCUCCCUCUCAAGCAAAUCGAACCUUCCUUCAUUUGUUUCCAGCAUGCUAAAGACCUCCCUAAAUUUAGGCUUGACAAUUAGAAAGGUGGCUAUAUGCAUUAGAGCUGUUUUCUCUUGCACCCCACAAUCUUUCAUCAUCUUUAUGGCCUCUGCAUUAUGCUAGAGACAAGGUUGGUUGGAGGUGUUGAUUAUGCUUCAACACUUGUGGAGAUCUUCUCUGCUGCAAUUUCUAUCUUCAAACAUGUGUUCUUGUAUAGGCGAAAGAAUGGACUCUUUUCAUCCUUAUCUUCAGUAGCAGUAGAGCAGUCCUUGCAUUUCUUUUUUUUCCUAGUUUUAUUUCUUCAAGGCAGCCAACUUUACAUCAUUUUCUUCAUGAGUUUUUUUUACCUCAGCCACAUCCUCAUCAUUUGACUCAUCAGAGAAAAUAUUUCCUGGACAAGAUGCACUAGCACCUCUAACAUGAACCUUAUCAAACAACAUAUGCAGAUCAUCAAGGUGCUCCGGUCCUUAUUUUCUGAACCUCACAUGAUUGCGUUUGAUAUCUUUAUCAGGAUUAUUGCAUCUCUUAAAUUAAAUGGAAGAAAUUAUCAAGUUAGCCCACGUAAAAGGAACUAAAUUGAAUAAUGAGCAAAGACAGGACAAUUCUUACAGCAAGGUGUUCAUCCCACCAUUCCUUAGAGCAAUCAAUAGUUUGCUUUGCCUCAUUCCAUCUAAGCCCAGUGGCACAAUUCUUGAACUCCAUAAACCAUGUAUAUUCCUUUUUCAUAUUGUCCAACUUAUUCUUCGGUUGUUUCUUUGUUUGCUUCGGAUUUGUUUUCUCUUCAUACUUGGUAAUUCCACAUUUUGUUUUUGAAUAUGAAUAUGAAAUCGGAUAAAGGAAAAUGUUGAAAAUCGGAUUCAGAUGCAUCUAUUUGACAUCCAAAUUAAAUUUGAAUAUGAAUACAGAUAUAAAUAUUAAUUAGCCUUUUUGGUGGAUACGAAUAUGGAUAAUUUGGAUUUCCAAACAUCCAUAUCCUCCAUCCCUAAUAAAAAGUAACCAAAAGAUAGUAACUCACACCACAUCACAAAAUACUCAAUUAGUAUCCAAUAGUUGGAUUUGCAGUUCCAUCAAUGACAUAGCUAUAAUAAUGAAUUGAAAGACCAGCACCAGCCGACCACUCUACAAAUACCGAACACAUAUCGUCUCUCUUGGUGCAUACGCAGCUGUGCAGCACCAGCACUCCUCCACAUCUUUGGCAUGUCGUUCAACAAGAACCUAGUGGUCGCUGGCUUCACCAUGGCCUUGCUCGUCGCGUCAAUAUACGGUGAUUUCCCCGGGGCCAACGAUCCAUCAUACGGUGAGUUCCCCGGCAAACAUUCAGUCGUUCAGCUCAAAGUUUCUCCAUGUUGAGACGCAAGUUAAUCUUCCAAAUAAACUCGAUCUUGUGCUUCAGGCGGAAUGGCCGGAAAUUACUGCUACGAGUGUACGGGGACCGUGUGCACGUCCGACGCGACGUGCCGCACCACCUGCCUGCGAAAGGAAGACCCCUACGUCGUCGGUGGCUACUGCUUCAAGGCCGCUUCUUCUUCCUCGUGCAUGUGCAUCAAGCGAUGCGUUGCGCGGUUCCCCCAUGGCGCCGCGGGACCAGCGUCCGCUUGAGAUGCUGGUGAUCAACUGAGUCAGGGGUGUUUGAUACGAGAUGCUAAACUUUAGCAGUGUCACAUCGGAUGUUCGGAUGCUAAUUAGAAGAACUAAACAUGAGCUAAUUAUAAAACUAAUUGCAGAACCUUGUGCUAAUUCGCGAGACGAAUCUAUUAAGCCUAAUUAAUCUAUCAUUAGCAAAUGGUUACUGUAGCACCACAUUGUCAAAUCAUAGACUAAUUAGGCUUAAUAGAUUCGUCUCGUGAAUUACACUUCAUCUGUGCAAUUAGUUUUGUAAUUAGCCUAUAUUUAAUACUCCUAAUUAGCAUCCAAACAUCCAAUGUGACGGGUGUUAAAUUUUAACACCCUAUUACCAAACAGCCCCGUACAUGUGUAGCCAGCCAAUGGCGUGCAAAUAAAUUUGAACUGAAAUAAUGAAUUCUUGUCAAUGCUUAUGUUUUGGAAUAAAUUUGAACUGAAAUAAUGAAUUCUUGUCAAUGCUUAUGUUUUGGAAAUCUGUUACUAGGAUCAUGCAAACAUAAGUAUCCUUCCAGAAAUUGAUGAACUGGUGCCCAACAAGCACAACCAAAUCGAGUAAUACAGUGUUAUACCUACCCCUGCUAUUGGAGCCAAAUGCUGCAUACCUCUUAGUAAUAAAUCGUUCUAUCCAAAUCUAUGAUGUAUCCUUUGCUAUUGAUACUAAUAAAUCGAUGCGCACCAAAAAUCCAUUUCGUUCUGAUUUGCGGGGUGCGCAAAUUUCUCAAUUUUCCAGCCUCACGCCAGGAACGCAUAUUGAUUUCUUGCUGGCGAGAUGACAAAAUAUCUAUGCUCAUUGAAGUCAAUUCAUACAAAGAACAAGAAACAGUAACAGUAGAUAGUAGGUUUCACAACCGAAACAUUUGCAAUUUCUCCAUGCAUCACAUGAAAAGGAAAAUAGAAAUAACCAUGUUACUGUAGCUGCUCCUCCGUAUUGAUUGAACUCAAGUAACCAGGUGAUUAGUACCACUACGGGAAACCGCAAAUUUGUCGAGUGUUUUUUCUUUGCCGAGUGCCAAGCAAAGAGGGGGUUUGCCGAGUGUUUUUUUGACAUUCGGCAAAUAAAUAAGUUUUUUUUCUCUUCUCACCUCGAAAUUUUUUCUACUCCCCACAUACAACAUGUGGUACUCCAUGUUAAAACUUUGUAAAUUUUUUGAUUUGUUUGCUAUAUUUAAUUAAUUAAUUGCAUUUCAAGAAAAUUUUUGGUAUAAGUCAAAUUUGAACUGCAAGUGAUUCAAAUUAUAGAAUAAAAUGAGUAGAAAAAUGAUAUUCAUGUUAUUUAGCCUAGUUUGAGGCCUUACCCAUGAAAUGAAAAGAAAUUUUGAACAUUUUGUUCAGAAAACACAACCACGAACGUGUGACCGAAUGAUUUUUAAAUUGUAAAAAAAGCGAGCGAAUUCUGAAAAUCAUGAGAUUUAUCAUGAUGUGAUGAUAUCAUACGUGGAGGUUGUGGUAAAAAAUUGAGAAGGUUUUGCACAUUUCGUCACAUACGAUGUUUACAAACUGAAGCAUCUCCGAAGAAGAAUAGUAGCGUUGAGAAGAAUUCGAUUACAUUUAGAGUCAAAGUGACGGUCAAGUUUUAAUUUAACCACAAAACUUUUUUUAUAUGCAAUAGAGAACAUAUAUUGCUGCAUGUGUCAUUUUGCUAAUUUUUGGAACUGCUGGAUAUUUUUAAUAAUGUAUUGAAGGUAAUUAUAGAAUGUUUGCCGAGUGUUUUUCUUUUUUGCACUCGGCAUACAAAGAGUUUGUCGAGUGUUUUCUUUUUCACAGUCGGUAAAAAAAAAUUUCUUUUUCUUUGCUGAGUGUCCCACAUCGGACACUCGGCAAACGUCAAAAAUAUCUAUUUCACCCCGUCCCCGGCCCCCAACCUGAGUGGUUUUGCGGCGUCCAGCCCCCGAGCCUGGGAGCUAGCUAAACCCCUGGAGAUAUUAGGAGUAUUAAUUGGUGCUUAGCCCCCGAGUUCGGGAACUAGCCUGUGCCGUUGAAGGCAUGCUUAGUGGGCGUCGCGAUGAGCGUCGUCGCCAAAGCUUGACCUAAAAGAAAAAAUGUGUACAUUAUGUAGCAUAUUUGUAGGAUUUUGAAACUACUAAAAUUUAUUCAGUGAUCAGUAUGAAAGUUGUGUCAUGCUCUUAUUUCGGUCAUAUUCUUCUCCUGUUACGAUUAGGCCCUCAGUCUCUGGGUAGCUGUUGCCACUGCGUGUGUGAGAUCGUUGUCUCAUAUACGCGUAUGGGCUUAGGCGUGACAGAUGCGCCUGAGGCUUUCACGAGUUAAGGCGUGUUCUGCUCGAGAAGAGUAGUGACCUUAAGAGAAGACAAAAGUGAGAGGAGUUGCUGCUGCGACAAGAAAGAGACUGCACGAUUGCGAGUCAAGCUCUUGUUUCAGUCAUACUCUUCCCGAGUAGUUAGCCUGUUACGCUUAGGCUCUCAGUCUCUGGGUAGCCGUUGCCGCUGCGUGUGUGAGAUCGUUGUCUCGUAUACGCGUAUGGGCUUAGGUGUGACAGAUGCGCCUGAGGCUUUCACGAGUUAAGGCGUGUUCUACUCGAGAAGAGUAGUAACCUUAAGAGAAGACAAAAGGGAAAAUUCACUGUUGCGAUAAAAAGAGAGCGCGGUAGCGCAAAAGAGUUUGCUGCCCUCCGGCGAAUAGAGCGCGCGUUGCACGCAAGAGUUUCUGGCGAGUAGAGCGCGUGUUGCGCGCAAACGGAAAAUAAGCCGGAAAAUAAUUUAGAAAAGUGACUUAGCUUGAUUCGUGGAUGAUUGUUGAUGAAGCCGUGACGCUCGUUGAUGAAGCCGUAACGGUUGUUGACGAAGUCGACUAGUCGGAGGCGAUUCGGACUAGUUAGUCAAUGAUGCAAAGUUUGCCCCGACUAAUUUUUAGUCGAGACGAGUUGAAGUCGUCGACGAGCUGCCCGUAGCUGACGGAGUGGUCGGCAAGCUGAUCGUGGUUGUCUUGUCGUGGGUGAGGAGUAGUUCAUUUCGUCUCGCCCGACCCAAGGUCCCGGGGUCGGACAUGCCCGACCCUUUGAGGAUGGAACUCCGCCUCGCCUGACCCUUGGUCCCGGGGUUGGAUGCGCCUGACCCUUUGAGGGUGGAACUCCGCCUCGCCCGACCCUUGGUCCCAGGGUCGGAUGCGCCCGACCCCUUGCCGCAAGGCUUCGAAUCGCCCGACCCCCGGCUUAGAGGGUCGGACUUAUCCAAGACCCCGAGACAAGGGUGCGUUUUGAGCGUAGACCAUGCUUGGCUGAAGUAGUCGGCGUGCCUACGACAUAGUCGAUGAAAUCAUCGGCGAGCCGCCCGUAGUCGUCGGCGAGCCGCCCGUAGUCGUCGGCGAGCUUGCGAUGUAGUCGGACUUUCGAGUUGUAGUCAAACUCAGAGUCGCUGUCGGACUUCGAGUCGUAGUUGGACCCAGAGUCGUCGUCGGACUACAAGUUGUAGUCGGACCCGGAGUCGCCGUCGGAGUUCGAGUUCGAAUCGCGGUGGAGCCCAAGGUCACCGUCGGAGUUGACGAUCUGGUGCCGGAACGAUCCGGCGCCGUCGGCGAUGCAGAGCCAAGAUCCAAAAAUGAAGGUUGCGUCCGCUUCGAUAGCAAAGAUGGGCUUGAUGACGACUGUGCCAUUGAGUUCGCGCUGAGAAACUUGACGAGUUCCCCUACCUGGCGCGCCAGCUGUCGGUGUUUUAGACCGGCAACCCGCCUAGGGGGUACCCUAGGUGGUCUUUUAUGCGGUAAGGGUCGUCGAGAAUCAAGGAAUCAAUGGUGACGUAAGGAACACGAUUUAGACAGGUUCGGGCCACUAGAUCGCGUAAUACCCUACGUCCUGUGUGUUGGUUUGUAUUGAUCUUGGAUGAACUGGAGUUGUUGUUGUGUGUCCUAGGCUUGGGUCUUGAGGUAUGACCUGCCGAGCUAGGUACCCCUACCCUCCUUUAUAUACUCAAGGGGGCAGAGUACUAGUCGGAUUACGAGGAGUCCUAGUAGGAGUACACGGGACUAGUCCUAGUCGGAUUACAGGGGAAUCCUAGUAGGAGUCUGACUUCUUCCUUCCUUGCGGGUACUGGGGAUGUAUCCCCGACAAGCACCCCCUCCUUCCUUUGUGCAACACCAACCACCCGCCCGACACCCCAGCAGCGCGCAACGCCCCCCUCCUCUUCCUCCGCGCAACACCGGCCCUCCACCUCCCUCUCCCCAUUGCCGGCUAGCUGCCGCCGCCACCCCUUCCCUCCCUCCCUCUCCCUCUCCUGCCGACGCCCCUCCCCCUCCUCUCCCCUUCUCCCUCCCCGGCGACGGCGCGGCCCGCCCCUUCUGGCCGGAUCCGGCUGCGGCGCGGCCCCUCCCGGCCGGAUCCGGCUGCGGCGCGACCCCUCCCGGUCGGAUUCGGCGGCGGAGCGGCCACCCCUCCUUCCCCCGGCGAGGCCCCCUCCCCUUCUCUCCAGCAACGCCCCCUCCCCUUCCCCCGGCGAGGCCCCCGCCCCUUGUCUCCGGCAGCGGCGUGGCCGCCCCUCCUUCCCUCGGCGAGGCCCCCUCCCCUUCCCCCGCCGAGGCCCCCUCCCCUUCUCUCCGGCAGCGGUGCGGCCGCCCCUCCUUCCCCCGUCGAGGCCCCCUCCCCUUCUCUCCGGCGGUGGCCCCUCCCCUCCCGGCCGGAUGUGGCGGCGUGGCGGGUGGGAGCGGGCAAGGUGGUGUGGUGGCGGGCAGCAGCGGGCAAGGCGGUGUGGUGGCUAGCGUGGCAGCCGGUGGCGGCGUGGUGGCCGUGGCCGGCGGCUGGUGUUUUUGUUUUUUUAUUUUUUCCAAAAAUGUUUGCCGAGCAUUUUUUGACACUCCGCAAAGCAUUUGCCGAGUGCCCGACGUUUGACACUCGGCAAAUCCACUGUUUGCCGAGGGAAAGUCCGCCGAGUCCAGUUCGCCGAGUGUUACACUCAGCAAACUCUUUGCCGAGUGUUUUUGGGCCUUCGCCGAGUGCCUGGGGCACUCGGCAAACUUCCUGUUUCCAAUAGUGUACUUAAUAACACCAGAAUCUGUACCACACAAAUAAAAAGAAAAAAAAUCCAAACUACUCUCCUCAAAUCUAACCAAAGUUUGGAUAACCCGUAAAGUAAUUUUUGGUUCAGUUUACCCCUAAACUAUGCCAUUUGAUUCCAUUUACCCCUUAAUACAAUUUAACUUUUUUGUUUGUCCACGCACAAGUGGAGUCUUAAGUUCGUGUUUUGCAAGAUGAUAGCAGAUAUCACAAUACAUGUUAGAAAAAUAUAUCAUGAUUUUUUAUUAUUAUUUGAUAGGUAGGAUAUUUAAUAAUAAAAUUUAUCUUUGAGAUACAAAAUUAUGUAAAAAAUAAUGAUGAAAAAUUCAUAAAAUAUUUUUUAAUAUAGAUUAUGAUGUCCACUACCACCCAGCAAAGUUUUAAAUUAAAACUCAAUUUGUGAAUGGAGAAAAAAAGAACAAAUUGCAUUAUGGGGUAAAUUGAACCAAAUAGUAUAGUUUAGGUGUAAAUUGAACCAAAACAUAGUUUAGUGGUUAUCUAGACUUUCGCUAUAUUUGAAUGGAGUAAUUUGUUCAAAAACAAAUCACUAUACUCAAUUUGUCAUGUAUAUAUGUGCAUGUGACUACACAGCCGUCAAUUAUCACCAAAUAUAGUUAAUAAAUUCAUUUUCACGCAAUUGGCUACAGAAGCUCACGAAUACACCAGUGACCAGAUGAUCUGGUUCACUGGUUGUAAAUCUUAUCUUGGGCCGUAGAUAGCUGGUACAAUCAUUCAACACCAUGAUUCGAGGUGCGCCUGAUUGCUGCUACAUUUUGCAUAGGGUACUUUAUUCUCGGAUAGGAUAUUCCACAAUUUAUUCAAAUACCAAUCUGAAAUCCGAUAGAUUCGGAUACAUCCAUUUGACAUCUAUUUUAAAAUUGUAUAUGAAUACAGAUAUCCAUAUUAAUCUUUUUGGUGGACAUGAAUACAGAUAAUUUGGAUUUCUAGACAUCCAUGUCCAUCCUUAAUAAUAAAACUAACCAAAGGAUAAUAACUCACACAACAUCAGACCAUAUUCAAAUUAGUAUCCAAUAAUUGGAUUUGCAGUUCCAUCAAUGACAUAGCUUGAAUGAAUUGAAAGAUCAGCACCAGCCGACCACUCUAUAAAUACCUAACACAUUGGCUCUCGUGAUGCAUAAAGCGCGCAGCUGUGUGUAGGGUGCAGCACUCCUCCACAUCUAGCCAUGUCGUUCAACAAGAACCUCGUGGUCGCUGGCUUCACCUUGGCCUUGCUCGUCGCGUCAUCAUAUGGUGAUUUUCCCGGAGCCAUGGCGUCAUCAUACGGUGAGUUCCCAGGAGAACAUUCAGUCAUUCAUCUCAAAGUUUCUCCAUAUUAAGAUUCUGUUUGGAUACCCUAUGUUAAACUUAAAGUUUAACACUCUCAAAUGGAGUGUAAAGUUUAACAUAUUGGGGUGUUUGGAUGGUGUGCUAAAAAUUAACACCUUUGGUGGGAAAUGACAACAGUGCCCCUCCUCUCCCUCCUCUCCUUUGCCCCUCCUCAACUUCUUCCUUCAGUAUCCCAAUCUGGUCAAUAUCCUUCUUGAGCAGCAGCGUGUCGAGCACGGCGUCGGGAUCGGCCGCGGGGGGUGCCGCUGCCUCCUCGCCGUCGAACAUCCCGGAGGCUGCCACCUCCACCAUCUCCGUCACCUCAUGUCCCUCCACCCGCGACGAGGACGCGCACCAGGAGAACAGUGACGACGCGGUGGAGGCCUCAUCGAGGCUGCGGUGCCGGUUGGAGGAGGAUGAGUCACGGUGGCACUGGUCGGAGGCCGCGUCGAGGCUGCGGCGCGUGCACGGCGUCGCAGCGGGCGCCUCGCCGGACAACGGCAGCACUAGCUCGAGCUCCGUGAGGCCUAGGAGCACGGCGACACCGGAGGCCCGGAGAUGGGCUAGCACCGCGGCCACGACCGGGGUGAAGGAGUGCAGGCCGUGCUUGGAGAGGAGAUGAAGGCGCGGUGGCGUGGGGAGGACCUAGGGACACGCCAGCGGGAGGGGAGGACCGGAGGGAAUGGCGGCCGGAGGGGAUGACGCCCCCAACGCGCCGUCGAAGCAGGACCGCGGGCACCCGCCCAAGGUGCGGGACCCCAACGCGGCCGCCGCUGCUGCCCAAGGUGCUGUCCACCAGCUCGCCACGCUGUGGAUCUGGGGCGGCGUGGGGAGGAGACGAAGGUGGGCGGAAGGGGAGGACCUGCGGGCGGGGAUAGCCGCCGGGAUGGAUGGCCGGCAGGAGGACCUGCAGGCGGGGAAGGACUGGCGGCAGGGGAUGGCUGGCGGGAGGAGAUGCCGGUGGGAGGGGCGGAUGCGAUGCGGGAGGAAGAAGAGGGGCAGCCGAGGAGAGAGAUAGAGGGGCAAUCAGGGAAAGUGUGGACUGGAGGACCACUUUAACAGGUUUAACAAGUUUUAACACCCUUUUAAUGUGUUUAUGAAAUUGGGGGUGUUAAACUUUAACACACCCUUUUUAACACCCCUGUUUAGGAGGCCAUGUACUAAAAGGAUGUUAAAAAUGAGAUGUUAAAGUUUAACACUCCUGUCCAAACAGGCCCGACACAAGUUAAUACUUCCAAAUAAACUCGAUCUUUUGGUUCAGGCGGAAUGGCCGGAAAUUACUGCUACGAGAGGACGGAAACCGAGUGCACGUCCGACGAGACGUGCCGCACCAUCUGCCUGGAAAAGGGAGACUCCUACGUCGGUGGCUACUGCUCCAAGGUGGCAUCUUCCUCGUGCAUAUGCAUCAAGAAAUGCGCUGCGCAGUUCCCCCAUGGCGCAGCGGGGCUGGGACCAGCGUCCGCUUGAGAGUUGUUGAGAUGCUGCAGCGGCGACGGAAGGGGAUGGUGCUGGGUGGCGAAAAAAACUGAUCGAUUUAGUGGCGCCAGAGUGCAUUCCGAUCCAUCCUGCCGCACGUGUAGCCAAUGGCCCGCAAGCAAAAUAAUUUGAACUGAAGUAAUGAAUUCGUGUCAAUACUUGUUUUGGAAAUCUAUUAUUAUGAUUAUGCAAAUAAAGUACUACAGUGAAUUCCACCCGAGCCAAUGCUGACAUACUUCCUCCCUUUGAAAUUAUUGGUCGUUGGCUUUUCUAGAUUUAUAGACAUCAUUAUGCAUCUAGAUCUACACUACAAUACGGGAUGAUCGACUUCUAGUACCGGUCGGUAACCCUCCUUUAGUACCGAGCGCCCGUUCGGUACUGCUAGUUCGAUAUUAAAUACCAACGCCCAGUUGGUGAAACCAACUGGUACUAAACUACAAGCCACGUCGCGCUGUAGCGCAUGACAAUUUAGUACCGGUUGGUUAACUUGUACUAAAUGUUAUUCCUUUUCCUUUUCCCCCUUCAUUUUCCCUUUAUUUUAUAAUUUGUAUUCUUAUCUGACGGAGCUUUUACUAAUAAUAUUACGUUAAUAUAUCAACCCAUUCAAAUCAUUAAUACUUAGGAAAGAUUGUAUAUGCAAUGAAAUAUAUACAGGUCUUAGAGAGAACAAGUUCAAAAAUCCAUAAGAAAAGCAUAGGGUACCGGUACAUCCAUGCAUGUUACAUAUUUUAUAUGUUUGCUUCACUUCCUUAGAUAUGGAACAUAGUUAAGGUCUCCAAUCAUUCAGCCAAGAACUUCAUCAAAAUAAGCUAGAGCACGGAUGAGUGCACUUUCCUACACUUCACAUGGACGGUCACAUACACUACCAUAAAUCUUGAACAAUGGAGAGGUAAACUGAUGUAGCCUAUACAAAGUGAUAUAAGCCUGAAGCUUAAAAUCUCUGUUGCGUAUCAUAUUUGCAUCUUGGUAACUCAAAUUCAACACAUUCAAGACUAGUUCCAGAAACGCACUUAAGCUCAUUGACGCAAUGGUUAUACCAAAGAAAUCCUAAAAGAUGAUCAUAAUGUGAUAAAAGUUAAAAGAUGUAACAUAACUAAAGAUGUAACAUAAAAGAAUGAUUAGAAUGAUAAAAGAUUGUUCCAUACUAUGUCAUGUUGAUUCAACCGACAAAGUCCUCCCUCCUCGAGCUGCUUUAUUCGAAAAUAUGAGAAGUCUGGCAUAAAGUACCCAUGAUCUUUAAACUGUUGUAGGCAGGCCUCCACGUCGGUCCUAUGAAAAGUUAUCCUAUUUGAUCCUUAAGCUUCAACAAUAUCUUUGAGCCAUCUAAUAGGGUCGAUAAGUUACAUUUUAUGUAAGUAAAUUUAGAAAUUAUUCAUGUGUAGUAAAAAAAUCAAUUACAAGAAGGAAACAAUAUUACUAUGUUGGGAACUGCUCCUUUGCUUCGAUCACUGGUAGGUAAGUCAAUGAUGUGAUUAGGGAAGUGAAUUCCUAGAGGACAAGUCAAUGGUGGCUCCUCGAACAUGUAGUGUCCAUGGCCGCCACCACCAUGGCCGUCACCACCAUGGCGGCCACCUCCACGGCUGCCACCACCAUGGAGAAAAGAACUUCCACUUGGCAUAGUUAGGCCAAACUAUCCAAAUAAAAUUGUAAUCAGAUACAUUAUUCCACAAACGUCAACUUCAAUAGUAAUUAUGCCGUAAAACAUCAUAAUUCACGAAAUGCUAAGAAGAAAAGAUUAUCCAAAAUAAUGGAAGAAAUUUACAAUUGUUGGUUUAGAUCUCAUGUACAUUGUGAUAACUAAUCAAAACACAUUUAUUAUCAUAUUGCAAUUGCCUGGAAUAAAAAUGAAAAAAGGUAACAAUUUCCUUAAUGAAUUUACUUAAAAAAAUGAAAAAAAGAAGAAAAAAACCAACCGGGACGCUCGGGGACAAGGCUGUCGGGGAUAGAUCCCCAGUACCUACAAGGAAGGAAGAAGCGGACUCCUACUACGAUUCCUCUGUAAUUCUACUAGGACUCAUCCCAUGUAAUACUACUAGGACUUCUUGUAACCGACUAGUAAUCCCGCCCCCUGGAGUAUAUAAAGGAGAGCAUGGGUCCCUAGAUCAGUAGGCAAAGACCUGAGAGAACCACCUCAGGAUUAACCUAAACCAAGAGGACCAAAACCUCAACACAAAACAACACCCAAGCACAGGGCGCAAUAUACAACACCCCAAAUAGAAAGUAGCGUGUUACGUUACUCUAGUAGCUUGAACCUAUAUAAAUCUGUGUCUUGUGUCCUCGCUUUUACCUUCGAGUUCCAGGCCCGGUGAUCCCCCACCAACCAAUCUACUACCUCAGGAUACCCCUCGGUAGGUUGCCGGGUAUAAAACACCGACAUCUGGCGUGCCAGGUAGGGGUGAUCGUCGAGAUCAUCGGGCGAGCUUGAAGGACCUCAUCAUGAUGAAUCUACUCAACAAGACAAGAACGUUGUUCUCCCAUCCAAUCGAUGACUCGGUGUGCAACUGUGUUGGAGUCUAAGGUGAAGUCGCCGGACAAGCUAAUUUCGAGCUAGCAUCUAUUCUCGCCGAAUUGGAAUUUGAAAUGGAGUGCAGAGUGGAGCAAUUCACCUGCCGUUAAUCAUCUCCAAGCAUCAAGAUCGAGAUGGAAUAGAAUUGGAUGGUGUGAAUAUGGAAUCCUACAGGGAGUCGAUUUCCUUAGUCGAGUCUGACGUGGAGACCAGCUUUGUUGAUCGGAGAUGGAAAAGCACGCCAAGCAACAAAAUAAAGAAACAUCUACUGUUAUUCCCUCUGGUGUUGGAAAUCAAUGGUGUAUUCAGCUAUGCGCACACCAAAAAAGCUACCAGAAGGACUUCAGCUUGCAUGGCAACACUAACAAAUCUCCGACGAUGCGAUCGACUACUUUUGCAAGAGUAAGACGUCUACGCUGACUCGCUAAUGACUACUUCAACUAUUCGUCUCGACUAGAGGGCGGGCCUCAUACCGUCAACAACUAGUCAGAAUCAACUCCGACUAGUCGGCUUCAUCAGCAACCGUUGCGGCUUCAUCGACAACCGUCCAUGGAUCAAGCUAAGUCGGUUUUUUAAUAAUUAUUUUUUCAGCUUGUUUUUCGCAUGCAGGGCAACGCGUCGAGUACUUUUUUAUGUACUCCUCUCGACGAUAAUUACCCUCCAGAGCUACACUUUGCCAAUUACUCUUGGGGCAUGUUGACCGAUAGUCGUGGGCUUGGUACACCAAAUUAUGAAGGUUAUCAAUACGGGUUUGGAGCCUACCACGUCUGCAUCCCAUGAAUUGAAGGGUCCAUAAACUACCAAAACCGCCUCAAUCAAUCGGAUAACGCACACAACCAUCAUUAGGACCCACAUGUCAGACUACCAUGCGAAGCGAUUGCAAGAGGGACCACCAGGGGUUCGGCCAAACCCUUGAAUUGGCCGAACCGCCUCUAGCUCCUGUGCUGAUCAGCUUCCACGUAACGAUGGUUGACAGCUUCCCUACGUUUGUUGUAGGAGAUUCCCCGAAUAUUCCUCAUGUAAACCACCUCUAUGAGCCUAUAAAUAUGAGAGUAGAGGCUCCAUUCUAGGACACACACUACAAGUGAAUCAUUCUCUCCCUCUUAGUUUCCAAGUUAGUGGAGUUAGGCUAAAGUAGUUCUCCUUCAGGUUCUAGAUCUUCUUGGAGUCUAGGGUAUGGCUCUUGUAGCUUACAUUCCUAGGUUGACUUUAUUCUAUUGAAAGUAUUCAUCUUCUUUAUAUAGUACCGUGCUUGGUUCUUCUAUGCAUGAGUUAGAUUUAUACCCUUGCUAAAUUGAUGUGCUAGGCUUAUACGCUCGUAUGCUAGUCAUAUACCCUUGCUAUCUUAGUAUAGGCUUAUAUACUCUCAUGUAUGCCUUGAGACCAUGCUUCAGUACAUACUCUGUGUGCGUAUAUACCUUGCAUAGCUUAGUUGAUCUAUGCUAUGGUGUCGAUUCAAUGUCCAUACUUAUGGCGGCUUCAGCCCUUGUCACAAUAGGUCGGGUUGGCUGGAGUGUUGUUUACAAUGCAAGCAUGGUGCUCGGAUUGAUUAGCUUCAUUGGAUAUGAGUUUGCCCCACUGGUUGCUAGGGGUAGGCAGCAGGUGGUGACAGCUAUGUCUCUCCUUCAUAAUCCCCCAUGUUCGGGUACGCUGUAGGAGUUCAGAAAUUAGCAGUAACUUUGCCAGGCGGAAUCGGUACGGGUACUAUCUCCCCAUGUGUGCCUGGGUGCAUUGGCCUGAGUCCUAUACAAUAUGUAUGUAUGUUAUGCUUGUAUGAUCUAUGCAGUAUAUAGGAAGUACAUAUGAACCUAGAGCUAACUCUUAGUCCUUCUCCCUAACUUUGUUAUCUUGAGAUGAUUCAUGUGUGUGUCAUACUACUCCUUUAUCAUUAUCUUACCCCUACCUUGAGUAUUGUCUCUAUCCAUCUAUGGUAUACUCAAAUGCAUAGUAAACUCUUUUGACCUACCCGCCUUCCUUGGGGAAAUACGAUACCCAUAGGAAUACUCAUGGGUGAAAUGCUACAAUGGUAUAUCCGUGCGCUUGCGGAUUUAUCGUGAUCGUUAAAUAUACCAACAGUGGCCUGAAAGCAGGUCGGGAGGAUGGAGGUAGCGAGGGGCGCCGGCGGCAGCGGGGAGGAGGUGGCCCAGUGGCACGUCGGCAUGAGGCAGGGAGAAGGCAGCGCGGCAGGCAAAGGAGCUGGGGUCGAGGGAUGGGGCCGGCAGGGAGGCACCGCGGGGACGGGGGUGAUGGUGACGGCAACGGGGACGGGGCACAGCACAGGACGGAGGGAGGAAUAAGUGCAGCUUGUUGGAAACUGCUAAGCGUUUGGAGAAGAUGAAGUAUUUGUAGGUGCAACACUUAGUACCAGUUAUAGCCUUUGCCCGGUACUAAAUUGCUCCAUUUAGUGCUGGGUAGGGCUUCUAAUCGAUACUAAACUUGCUAAAAUGGUGGGAGCAGAAAUUUGGGGCAUUUAGUACCGAAUCCGGACCACGGUCGGUACUAAAUUGCUCGAUUAGUACUGGUCAGGGUUUCCAACCGGUACUAAGUGUUGCCAAAAUAGUGGGAGCUGAAAGUGUCCACCUCCAGCAAUUUUCUUUCUUGCGCACACUAUCUUAAUUCUAAUAAAAUGUUUCAAUCAUUUUGACAAGGUUGUCACAUGUGUGUGUGUGUAUGAAAUAGUAGAGAUAAACAUUCAUCACAAAUAUUAACUAGGGUACAUUACAUAUGAAAUUCAUCGUACAUAUUAAAUCUUACAUCAAUGAGAUACUUGGAACCUAGAUCAUCCACAUCAUGACCACUAAUCAUACAGACAUACAAACUAUGAUUAAUAUCAAUAAUGUGGAUUCUUAAGAACCUAUCAACAUAAUAUUGUGUAUAUAUGUAUGCACUAUCCCUAGCCUUGUAGGGCAUGUGGAAUGUCUCUCCAAAUAUUCUCAUCGAAUUCGUGGAUGAUGAUAAGGUAAUGUCGGCUUGCCAACCGCCACGUACUCGACCCGGGUCAGCUCUUAUGAAUGUCCAGCCAAUGUUCCUCAAUACCUGACGUAGAACUUCUUUUAGACCUUGGUCAGCGUGCAUGAAGCUAUUAUACAGUGCGUCCUUGAGUCAAAUGGCAACCAAAAAAAGUGUGUUAGUAUACAUAUUGGAAAAUCAUUACAAAACAAAAUUAAAAAUAAUGACUAACUGUAAGUUAUAUACAACGGGAGAUUGAUACGCUGGUGAUAUCCAUUUAGGCAUUUGUGUGGCGUCCGGCUCAUCGUAUUCGAACACUUUAAUCUUGAAGUAAUUGUAGUCUGGAAAUACGUGAUUUGUUUGACGUUCUAUUUAGAUCAGUGUCUUCCUCACAGCACUACAUGCGGCAACAUGUGGCUGUUGUGCAGCAGUAAAAUUGACAUGGAUAAUAAUUGUUUGACCAAGUUGUUGCUCUCGCAUGCCUGCAAAAUUAAUGGAUAGAGAAACCACAUAUCUUCCUUUUGUCGGACUCGUUUGUUCAUGUAGCACCAUAGGAGCUUGUUGAGUCACGUUAGUUAUUACAUGUUGUAACCACUUGAUUGGUGAAACAAGCCUCAAUACAAAUUAUAAAAAAUCAUUAAUUUGAUAUAAUGAGUAAUAAAAUCAGUAUUAGAAUACAAAGGGCGUAAGUACCACACUUCGGCGUAAGUGCGGUUGUGUAAUGGGCACGGGUCCGUGACCGACGGGGAAGGAAGCGCCAACAGGCUGCGCUGGUGGAUCCGGGGGAAACGUAAGUGCGCUCGGGUCUGAGCGACGUAUCGGCAUUUUGUCCUACAAAAUUAUAUAAAAUACAUAACAAAAUUAUUAGAGCAUCGCAUACAGUUUUUGGGAGACAUAUAUGGAUACGGAUAUACAAUUAUUAUUACCAAUCAACCUUCGUAUCAUUUACUAGUUCGACAAAAAGAAAAAUGCUACAUUAUGAAAUAAGACAAUAAGGAUACAUUAAAGACUACAGAUGCUUCAUAUAGUGGACUUCAUGGAGUCAAGAAUCAAAACCACCAAUAAUUCUAAUAUAUGACUCAAUCUCCUCUCAAGUCAGUGUUUGCACAUCAGUAAUCUCAAUGAGUGUGCUCGUUUGCGUCGGAUCCCACCAGCUCUUGUUCACCUCAGAUUUCUCGACUGAAAUUACAUUGUUCAUGCAAAUUCCAAGUCUAUAGAGAGCCACCUCCACUCCUCCAGUACCAAAGAAUAGUGUAAGCAUAUUUAUGCCAUGUGCAGAUACUAUUCUCGGUAUUGGAGGAGCCGAGGUGGUACAUCCAUUGCCGGUCCAUCUGCAUCGUAUUACAUGAACAAUGAACAUAGGGUUUUGUAUUAGAUAAAGAACUUGAUCAAUAUUAGGUACGGGAAAAAAUAGAGUAAAUGUGUUUAUAAAUAAAUUAUUGGUCAAAGAAUACAAUUAUUGUUAAAUUAGAGUGACAUGAAAAUUACACGAAGAAUCCUAAAAUCAACAUUUUCCCCCUUCCAUUGCAUACAUUAGCACACUGGAAAUGCUACAAUAAAAUUAUUCAUUCUUCUCAUUCUAAAAUACUCUCCUCAUUCUAAAAAAUUAACAAAUACUCUAUUUGUAACAUAAAAUUCAUUUCAAAAACUCUUCAUUCUCCUCAUUCUAAAAUACUCUCCGUUCUCCUCAUUCUAAAAAUAUCAACAAGCUAAGUACUCCAUUUGUAACAUAAAACUCAUUCUGAAAAACUCUCCAUUCUCCUCAUUCUAGCUAACAUACUCUCUAUUCUAGCUACAAAACAUAAAACAUAGAAUACUAACCAUGAGAGGAGAAAGUUGCUAACCUUUACCUCCACUAGGUCAAGUGAAGAAGAAGCUCGGGCUCUCGGUCAAAUGGUUGAGCUUGGGCUGAACAAGAAGCCCGGGCUCUCGGUCAAAUGGUUGAGCUUGGGCUCGAGGAGGAAGAAGAAACUCAUUUUAUCGGGUUACCUUUAGUACCGACUGGUGGGUAGAGCCGGUACUAAAUGGUUGCAUGUUAGUACUGGUUGAAGAUACCAGCCAGUACUAAAAUGCAUAAACACCAUUUAGUACUCGCUCCACCCACCAGCCGGUACUAAAUGGCUUCCUGGGGAAUCUAGUCGUUGGCCACGUGAUCCAAGUGCUGCCAUUUAGUACCGGUUGAGACUCCAAACCGGUACUACAGUAGCUCCAGUGGCACUAUGUGUGAUGAUCGGUACUAACAUGUUGGAUAAAUGCUCUGUUUUCCAGUAGUGAUAAAUUCAUGUCAAUAAUUAUGUUAUGGAAAUAUAUUACUAGGAUCAUGCAAACAUAAGUAUUCUUCUUGAGGUUGAUGAACUGGUGCCCAACAAGCACCGUCCUACUGUGCUACCUUCUCCUGCUUUUGGAACCAUUACUUCCUUACACUACUACAGAACUCCCUAUCAUCGCCCAUUUGCCUCAAACCGAUGAUUAUAAUUUGUCACCGUCGGAUUAUUACAUAAUCUGGUAGUAAAAAAAUUGAUCCGACGGUAAUAAUAUAAUAUCACCUCUAGGUCCAAUUAUGAGCCAGCAAUGAUGAUUUUAUUUGGUGGAGGGGUUCGGCCGGACCCAAAAUUGUAAUUGAAUCGAGUUGUCUGAUGGGUUCUACAUCCGUCCACCUUAUCCGCUCGUCUCCUUCACUUACCGGCCCCUCAAGCUCCCAAUCUCCCUCACCCGAUCCUCCCUUUCUCCCUCUUCGCUGCCAUCCUCCCUCACCCCCUCAACAUUGGCCCCCUCCUUCUCUCCCCUCCCAUUGGGCCCUCCCUCUCUCCCUCACUGCCGGCCCCUCCCUCUCCCCCCCUCAACGUGGGCCCCCUCCCUCUCGUCCUCACCCAUCGGCCCUUCCAUCUCUCCCCUCUCUCUCGUCCUCACCACCGGCCCCAUCCCCCUCUCCCUCACCUGUCGGCCCUUCCUCUCUCCCUCACUGCCAGGCCCCUUCCCUCUCUCCCCUCCCACUAGCCCUUCCCUCUCUUCCUCUUUGCCGCCCCCUUCCUCUCUCCCUCAGCGCCGGGCCCUCCCUCUCUCCCUCAUCGCCGGGCUCCUCCCUCUCCGUUGGUCUCCUUCCCUCUCCAUGGCUGCCCCUCCCCCUCUAGUCACCCCUCACUAGAGAGUGCACCGCGGCGAUGCCUGUGAGGAGCGGUGGUGGGGCGAGGUGUGGAGACAGGGAGCAGCAGUGAGAUGACGCGGCAAGCGUCGAGCACGGUGGGUGGUGGGCACAGUGAGCAUCUAGCGCGGCGGGCAUCGAGUUCAGAUCCGAUGCGCCGAUGACCUCUCUAUCUAUGUAUCUAUCUCUCUCCCCCAGGCAGCGACAGGCUGCGGUGGGCGCGCGACGGGUCUGCAACGGCGCUUCUACGCAGAGAGCAUUUUCAUGUUACCGACGAUUAUAAUUUAUACAGUAGGCUUACAACCGAAACAAUGUCAAUUUCCCCUUAGCAUAACAUGAACAGAAAAAUAGAAAUAACAAGGUUACUAUAGCUUCCCCUCCGUACUGAUUGAACUCAAUUAACCAGGAGAUUACUAUAUAAUAAUAACGCCAAGUGAAAGAAUCUGUACCACACAAAUAAAAAAUGGCCCGCUAUCAAAAACAAGACAAACUUAACAAGACAUUCAGCCAUUCAAAAUUUGUUCAAAAACAAGUCAUACUCAAUUUUGCAUGUGGUAUACGGCAGUCAAUUACGCAAUUGCCUACACAAGCUCAGGAAUGCACCAGUGACCAGAUGAUCUGGUUGUGAAUCUUAUCUUGGGACAUACAUAGCCGGUACAAUGAUUUGACACCAUAAUUCGAGGUGCGCAUAUUGCUGCUACAGUGAUUUUACUCCAUAUUUAGAGGUGCUAUAGUCAUUUAACUUCUAAACCCAAAAGGUACAGUAAUCGCACACCACAUCUCACCGUACCCAAAUUAUAGUAACAAAUAAUUGGAUUUGCAUAUCCAUCUAAGCCAUAGAAUGGCUGAAAGGCCAUGCCGGUCAAUCCCUCCAUAAAUAUCGAAUAUAUCACAUGUUACUUCUCCAUCCUCCUGUCAUUUUUCCAACCGGAACUAAUUAAUCGGGACUAAAUAUCCCCAUCUUUAGUCUCGGAUCCCAGUACCUUCCUUUAGUCCCGGUUGGAUUCGUUUUGCACCAAAUAUGUGCGUGCAUGGUGCGUGGGAUUCGAACCCACAACCUCAAGCCUUACGUGUAGCUUCCUUAUUAUCUCACCUACACAGCACAUCUAAUUAAGUAGGGGAUGCAAUCCUUUUAUAGUAACUCGUGGGAAACCCCUUUACCAACAGGACUAAAGUGUCUCCAUGGACUACAAAAUUUAGACUCGGGAUUAAAGCUGUUUAAUCCCGAAUAAAAAUAACCGAGAUUUUUGUUGAGAAUGGAAGGUCGAUUUUCUAAAACCGUGUGGCCGCUGGCUUCACCUUGACCUUGCUCAUCGCCUCAUACCGUGAGCUCCCAGGAGUCAUCGCGUCAUCCUACGGUGAGUUCUUAGUUAGGAGAACAUUCAGUUAGCACAAGAUUUCUGCAAAACACUGCAGCUAAUCUAAUGUCUGCAAAAAUAAACUUUUUGCGCGUGGUUACAGGCGGAACAGCACUCUGCGACGAGAGGCUCGGGGUGAAGUGCACGUCCGACGCGACGUGCGUGACUGGCAAAGAAAGGCGGCCGCAUCGGUGGCUACUGCUCCAAGGAGCAUGUCGUCGGCGACCCCUCAUGCGUAUGCACCAAGAAGUGAGGUGGACAGUCGACGGGGGCGGCGCCGGGGGACGAGCGCCGUCCGCUGGGAAGCCGGCGACGGCGACGGCGGGACGGCGUGGGGUGGGAAUGGGCUACUGAUUUAGUGGCGCCAGAUUUUGUUAGGAGCUAGUCACCAGCAUCGAAAAGCAGAGUAUUUCGAUCCAUCAAUCUGAGCGUCUGUAGCCAAUCGCGUGAAAAUGAAUUUGAAUUUUGAAGUGAACUAGUGAAUUCAUGCCAUCUAUUACUAGGCUAUUAUAAGCUUUCAGUUGGAUCAUGCAAACAUUCAUGGACAUGGCUAUAUUACGGCCGGUCGUAAUAUAAGCAUUCCGUGCAGCCGCUCCUUUUUUGGAAAGGAGACAAAAACCUGCGGUGCCAGCUUUCCUCUCCUGGCACCUCAGCUUCCUGCCUCCCCACGCAGGAAAAGGGCUCAUGGUGUCUGCCAAUUCCCACGCACUUUCCCGCUAGAAACACAUGAUCCGCGCCAAAAAGCCACCACAACCACGGUAAAAACAGAGACAAGCUAAAGAAUAUGCGAGGAACAGGGGAAAAAAAAAGCACAGCUACAGACCCAGAUAUCCUCUCAUAUUCAUAGAACUAUGCAGAAAAGUAGGGUUUAUAGUAGACUAUUUACACAGACAAAAUUUGCCUCCCCCUCCCAGAAUCAAAAUAAAAUUGCAACACAUGAGGGCUAAAACUGCAACGAUAAUAGUAUGUGGAUCCCAAAGAAAGCUAUCAACCUAAUAUGCAAUUCCAGAAGUUUUAUGCACAAAAAGUAUAUCUUCAAAUUGAAAAAAGCAUCAUUCAAAUUCGCCUAUUGCUUCCACCAUGUAAAUUAUGCAUCCAGGCAUCAUUCAGUAAAUCGGGCAUCAGCAGGUCAAAAUCUGCAUAAAAAAAAUUAAUCACAUCAAGCAUCUUAAAAAUUGCACAACCUACAGGUAUUUUUUCCUGCAAUUUAUAUUUCAUAACUGCACCAAGAAAAUCAAUAAUCAGAGAACAUAUAUAGUAAACUAAAAAAACAAAGUCAAAUCAGACUGAAAUACUAGCUUCUAUAUCUAGUACUAGUACUAGUAGUUGUUGUUAAGCAAAAGACAUCCUAAUUAACUGUAAUCGCUUAACAAUUGCAAAUGCUUAACUGUAAAAUGAAAAAAUGCUUAACAGUGACUAGAAAAUGAUAAACUAAAAUGAAUAAAUUGCUUGAUGAUUUAGCAAAAAUUUCCUUUCAAAUGAAUCCUAAGGGGGUAUGUGGUACUGACUACCAAUCUUUUCUUUCUUGGAAAAAUGGUAGCUGAGACACGUUUCUAUUGCUCCAGUACAUGAUGCAAGCUUUGGAUAGUAUUUACCAAUCUGCAUAGUUUGAUGUAUGUGGUAUCUCAAUUAAAAAUCCCUAAUAUUCCAACUGGUCUAGCUGCCGCUAGCAUGCUACUACAUCGCCAAACAUAAAGAACCCAUCAAGAUCAAAACUUCAAAAGUAAAAAGAAACCCGCAAAAAAGGAAAGCAGGCUAACUAAGGGGAUGAAUGCUCGAGGCAAAGAGCGGGAAUGAGUGUAGGAUUUGCAGGUCAACCAAGUUACACCGCUCCAAAAGCAUAGGGACUUUUGAGUUAGGGACCGCAGUUGUUCGGUUGAUUAUGAAAAAAGAGCUUGUGUUUGUUAAUCUAUUCGAACCUAAUCCAUAUGUUAAAUAUGCAUUCCCUAAUUAGCUAGUCUGAUCGAAAUAUUGCUUGUAUAAGCAUUGCUGGUAGUUGCAUGUUAACUAUUUACUGAAGUCAACCAAACAACAAAAAUGGAACUUCAAAAAAUUGCCUAAUGAAGUAUAUUUUUAUGCCUAGACAGAAUACUAUUAUUGCUUAUUGGGAACCAACAUUAUUUCCUAUGUAGUGCAAAAUUAAUUAUCUAAUUCCUACCUAUAGCAUGCCUAAUUCAGAGCUAUGUUAUUGCCUAAUAGAAAAUGGAAUGGGAAGAUAUUCAUAUAGAACUAUCUUUGCAGUUUUAUUACCGGGAGCAGAAACUUUCUCAGAUCAUGAUCGUGCAAAUACGGAAAGUGCUAGAUUAGAAAACAAAACUGCUAAUCUCUAAUGGAUAAUUUGUCUGUUGAAUUAAUAUAAUUUGCCUACAUAUCCAAAAAUAGCUAUUACAGAAAAAGUAUGAUAGAUACACUAUGUGAAAAGCUAACUUUGAUGAACUACCAGGAACAUUCACUCUAUAAAUUCAUCUACUAUGAUGUAUCCACACACCAGCUCGCAAACUUGGGUGAAGUUAAUAAAGCACUAGGCAUCCAGAUGUUGUAUGCUGCCCCAUUGAAAACAAUAGAAUUGUCCUUCCCACUCAUGCGCAAAGAACUACAUACAAACGAACAAAUAUAUUACUCUGUUCAGUAACUUGUAGCUAAAAUCACAGAACAGUUCUGCUCACAAUAUGUAACUAAGAAGCUAACCAAACCUGAAGCAGAUAUCAUGGAUGGUAAUAUAGUGAGGAAUCAGCUUAUAAAUCAUAUUGAAAACACAUGCUAGAACAUGAAAGUUGACAAAAAAAAAAUCUCAACCACCGAGAAACUAAUGCUAGAUUGCUUAUCAGGAUUUACCUGAAGUUAACCUGGCUGCGUGCUUGAUUCUGUUCAUGACCGACAGCACAGAGAAAGCUAACAACCAAAAACUCUGCUGACAGAUUUUGGUUUUCUGCUUCAAUCACCGUUCUAAAGCAUGCACCUAGAUAGAUCCGAAAAUGUUUUCUACACCUUUUACCCCACCAAACCAUUGCCAUGUCAAGCUACUACUAGUAGUAGAUACAGGAAGUCCAAAACAAAAACAUACCUAUUUGGUUUCGUCCGUGUGCAGGGGCUCCUCCUCCAUCCUUGAUUUGGGAUUCUCCCUGCACCAAAAAAAAAAUAAACCUGAUAUGCAUCGAUGAAAUCCGGGGAAGACUCACCUCCAUGGGCUCCCCUUUCUUCUCCACCCCCGAUCUACACUUCCCACCGCGUGAAAUGAAUGGGCGCUGGAGGAAAUGUUCAUCCGUGAGUACGUGGAAGUGGGGCCCGGGGAGUUGAUUUGCUCGUGCUUGGGUGGAGCCGUGGAGGAGUCGCCCAGUUGAUCAAGUGGGCCGUACGCCCGUACGGGGGCAACAAAAUACGGCCGGCCUAAUUAUAGUCUUUACCAACAUGUAUAUGUUAUCUUAUUAUUAGUUCGGGCAACAACAGAGGAAGCUCAACUCUGGAGGCCUACAUCUAUCUCGGGAAAAAUCAAUUUCUUCAUUAUUGGAUUGAAAGUAAAUUUUACCUACUAUACAAAAACUAUUAAUAUUGUAUCGCUUAUACUCCAUAAAGUUCAAAAUUAAGCAAUCCGUGCAACAAGUAAUUUUGUUGUGUGCAUAUACGGUCAUGGCAUGUCAUAUCAGUGUAUUUUGCCACGGUGGCAGCAUGACGUGGAUUCCCGGAGGUGUGUCACCUGCAGCUCACAUUCUGACUUAUGACACAUAAAAGGGCUAAAACUUGUGGUUGCCACAAUCACAAACAAGUUUAAGUAGCGGUUUUUAAUAUUUACAUUGCAUUUUUUUAGAGUAUAUUGACCUAAAUGGCACUCAAGGCUAAGUUUAGAAAGCAAGAUCUAAACUUUUAGAAUAUGAACUGGCCAUAUAUUUUUUUACUCCAUAGUUAAUCACAAAGGAAGAAAACGUAUAAACCAAACUAUACGUGGGGCAACCUUACUAGCUAUGAAAACCACAACUGGUUGUUGCAUGCCAUCUCUAGAUCAUAUAUGCCAUUACGAAUCACAUGCUCUCAUACUCUCUUCAUGUUCUUUUUAAAAAAAUAUAGUAUUAACGUAGGAAUAAGAAAAAUUACAGUACUUGAGAUUGUUGAUGGCACUUGCAAUCUUAUAUGAGUUCAUAACACAUGGGAGUUUUCCAUAUAAAAAAAACAAAAGCAUUUGAGGAGAGAGAACACAAAAUAGAAGUUACACCCUUCAUCACAAAUUAUAGGUUGUUUUGAUCCUAAAUUAUAGAUCGUUUUGGUUUUUAGAUUCAUAGAUUUUGUUAUGCACUUGAUAUACCCUAUAUCUAGAUGCACAAUGAUAUCUAUAUAUCUAGAAAAAUCAAAACGACCUAUAGUUUAGGAUGGAGGGAGUACGUAAGAUCCAACCCUUGUGUUGGUUUUUCCUCAACAGUUGCUAUGGAUUCAUGCGCUGCAUUUAAAUGUAACUGAAUGACAUCUCUUUCCCCUUCAACCAAAGACUUUUAGGUGCAACUAGCAAAGUUCACUGGUGCACGUGGUGCUUCUCGUGGUGCCGUAGGUAAUGUAAUUACGAUUUGCCUAUCCGAGUUUGCCGGCAAGACAGGUUACCAAAAUUUGGUGACUUCAGACAAAACUAAGGAUAAACGUGAGGGGAUUUUCAUGCGAGAAUGACCAUUGCAUGCAAGCCUUGGAUGCUUUCUUUUAAUAUGUAAAUAGGCGACAGCGUCAGUAGCACAGCAAAUUUCUUCCCAAAAGCCAUAAUUUAGCAAAAGGCAAAGAAAUUAAGUGACCCUAGUUGCAAGGAUGUCAAAGGAGGAUCAGGAUAACAGAAAAUCUGAAUGGAAGUCCAAAAACGAAAACAGGUUGCCCAGGAACUGAUUACAGCCACAGGUCAAUAAGUACGGUACGGUCCAGAUAGCUGGCAAGUUUGAUCCAAUUACUAGCAAAUAUAAAUAGUCGAAAUUUCAUAAGGCUCCCUAAGUCAGCCAUCAUGAGCAGCUUACAGAUACAUAAUAGGGUACCAAAUGACCAUAAACAGAUCACCCAAGACCACACGAUAUCUGGAUAACCAUUAGGACCUACAGCCCUGAAGCGAGUCAAUAGAGUGUUAAGUUAGAAACAUCGAGGGAUCUCCAAAGCUCGCGCACUAGGUUAGCCGCUUCUGGCGCAGCUCAUCCAAGACGUUGUGGAACUGUCGUUUGGCAUCAUUGUGUGCCUCCUCGAACCUGCUACGUGCUGAUUGGAGUCCAAAAAUCUCCACUUCUUGAUGCUCUUUGUCCUUUGCUAUCUUCUGUGAUUCCUGGCGAAGGCGCCCAAGUUUCUGCUCCAGCUCAGCUAUAGCUCUAUCCUUCUCAUCGAGCAGUUUGUCAAUUCGGGAGGAGGAUGCUGUCACCCCCACAAUCUGGGAAUUCAGCUUCUGUAUUUCUCCAAGACAAUUGGUGCUAUCAGAUUUUAUGUGGAGCAAUUUGGUCAGGAUGCUCUGCAAAAAUUGGACAUCAAAUCCAUUUCUCUCUAGAUGGCUCAGUGUAUUCAUCGUGUCCUCAAACCAUUCCAUGCUGUGGUCUAUGCUUGCUUGUGUUAUAAGCUUCACUGUGUCAGCAAACGACACCAUCAGACCUAAUGCCAUUCCUUCACGCAGUCCUGGCGGAAAUUGUCGGAGUGGAAGGAAAUGCGGGUGUUGUGGUACCUCACAGAACACAUUCAUUUCUUCAAUUAAAGACCACAUAGGUGAGUUCUUAACGAACUGAACAUGAGAGGCAGGCAAGUGCGAAGGCAUAGAGCUCCCAGAAGCAGAGCAGCUCCUUAAUGAAGAAUUGUCCAUGGUGCACUGUGAGCUGCUAGCAUUAUGAAGACGUGGUAGGAUUGACCUCUCAUCCACUUUCCUGCCAGCCUUUGGAACUGGAUGAUCAACAGAUAGGAUACCUGUCUCCAUAAGAUGGUUGCUUUUAGCUACUUGGGUAGCAGCAUGGUCUGCAUCAGCAUUUAGGUUCACUUGACUGAUGCUGUCGAUUAUAGCAGUUGGCUCUUCCUCCGACAGACUACCAUGUAUGUCAACACCUGUCCACAGAAAUCCAGUCAUUAAUCAUAAAUCUACUACUUUGAUCCAUGCCUUCAGUAACUAUUUAGCAAACUAUGCACAUUUCAACCCUAAAGUUUUCACUGUUCAUACCUUUUCCAUCAUACAUUGAUUCAAAGCCAGGAGGUAUCAUGGGUAUAGUGUCCUGAUCUGAUAAUUCAGUUGUGUUCAGUGUAUCCUCCAAAGUUUUAUCAAGCUGCUCCUGAGCAUGAGAUUACAAGGGUGAGAAGCUCAUAGCUACAUAAGUACUAGUUCAUAAAGUGUCUUCUUACUGCUAAGGGGGAUUCUUUCAUUGGUCCUGCCAGUUUCUUUCUUCCUCUCUGCUGGACGGUACUAGUCACAUCCAGUGAGCUAAGUGGACUACACAGUUCUCUGGGUCCUUUUCGUUUAGCCACUGCAGAUUGCAGAGCCAUUGUUAGAUUUUAAUAAUUACCUUAAAAGAUGAAUGUGUGGCAGAGAAAACACUUACAUUUCUUACAGGUAAGCACCUUUGAACUUGGACCCCUAAUAGUCUGUCUUGUCACCUUAAUAUAGAUUGACAAACCGAACAGAACACGCACAUGAAUAUGAAUACGGAAAGAUGUUUUUAAAGCCAAUCACAAGAUUUAAGAUGUCACAAGUCUAUACCCGCCUAUCCGGUGUUUUAUUAGUUUGGUCUUCCACAGAGGCGUUCAAACCACAGACAAUGACAGUGCUUGAGAAAUCGAUGUUCCCUUUCAACUGAAUCUGCACCAGUGAAAAAGAUCAACAUGAACAGAACUUCUAAAUGCUAUGGACGCAUUGUUACUCCAACUAUGAAACAUGAUGAGGGAACUCACGUUAUCUGAGGCAUCAUUUUUCCCCUGAAGUUCCAGAAUAGGGUGUGUUUUGGUCCCUUUACUUUUUGAUAUGCCUUUCUUCACCUUGAGUGUCUUGACAGAGAGCACUUUUUUCUGUAUCUGUUGGACAGAACUGCUUCUGCGAGCUGAAGCCAUAUUCUUUCUUAGCUCUGCAAUGGAAAGCAUAUCAUGGGCAUCACCAGCACUUGCACCAAACACACGUGUAUUAAGAUGACCAUCAGAAUCCAUCAUCUCAGAUAGGACUUCUUGAUUGUCCACUUUUUUCUGUAUCUGUUGGACACAACUGCUUCUGCGAGCUGAAGCCAUGUUCUUUCUUAGCUCUGCAAUGGAAAGCAUAUCAUGGGCAUCACCAGCACUUGCACCAAACACACGUGUAUUAAGAUGACCAUCAGAAUCCAUCAUCUCAGAUAGGACUUCUUGAUUGUCCACUGUUUCUCCAGUACUAUUUGGCAUUGAUUCAUUCUGAGGUGUUGAAUGUCCUGGAGAAGCACAAAGAUGACCAUUCAUGGGCACCGAACUCACUACCCCGUGGGAAGUCACUUGAAGACUAUUUUUUUCAGAGAGCAGAGAACCAGAAUUUUCAGCUAACGGGACAUCAAGCUGCUGAGAUUUUUUCCUCGACUUUUUGGUGCCAGCAGAUUCAGGGUCAUGAGUAUAGUCAUCAAUGCUUGAUAGCAAAUCAACAGGUGAGCUUAGAUUUUGUCCGCUCAUAGACUGCCGCCUCAAGUUAGCCCGUCUCUGUACAAGAAAGGAACUAUUUAGAAAUUAUAAUGGAUCAUACAAAAUGAAGGAUAGGAUGUUAUAUUGAUAUGUUCAAAAGUCAAAGAGAGUUUCUUUAGCAGUGCGCCAUAUACAUAAUAUGACAAGCCAAUGGUUAAACAAACUUCUUAGAAACUCACAAUGCACAAAAUACAAAAUGCUAGGAAACCUGCCUCGUGCAAUGGAUGUCCUCGGUGAAAUAUGUUCUAGGAUCCCCACAUCAGGAGUUCAAAUGAAGAAGAAAACACCUUUCGUAUUCAUUAUUGAUAAUAUCUCAAUUUCUUCUUAUAGGGCAUAUUAGGAUUUAGGAGAACUCACUUCAAAAGUAUGACUAACAAUUAGUAGAAUUGUAUGCAUUUAUAACAAUAGAUCUAUAACUAAGUGUGCAAAAGUUGUAUCAAAGAUUUGUAUUACGCAUAAUUUUUUGAAACAAUAUUAACUUAAUAGCAAUGAAAAUAUAUACUGUAAGAGAAAUUGAUACUUUGGAAGACUUUGUCAAAUCAUAUUGCACCCUGCAGAAAAGAAACGUUAGGAGUAUACUGUACAUAAUCGGCCGUUAUACAAGCAGCAGCCACAAACACAUUUCUACAUCCAUUCGAGAGCCAAGAGGGGUGAACAACAAAAUUUGAAUCAAACACAAAUCGUACAAAUUCAGGAUGAACAACCCAAAGGUAAAGGUGUUUAUAAAAAAAUGAAGCGCAACAUACCCAAUCAGGGUUUUUCAUCAAAAAAAUUAGCAGCAUUGUGUCAUUCAACAAUAGCGCAAUUUUUAGCAACAUGCAAACCAGACAAAGCAUCCCUGAACUUAAUCAUGGGCCGAAAACUCCAUCCUACCAAUAAACCACAUAACAAUUCCACAGUCCGUAAAUAGGUCAAGUGACAAAGGCACAAAGCCAAAGAGAGGUAACAUAGAAUUUGCCCAGAGCUGGAGAGUUCAAAACUAACUGUUGUACCUAUGCUAAAUUCAUCUGUCAAGCAUAUCUAUGGGUAAUCAUAAGUAGAGUGAAACAAGUAAGGAACUAAAAUAACCCUAAUAGGAAACAUCGGCAAUGAAGUCGACCAAGGCCGUCCCCAACAAAUUGUGGGUCCUGAACUAAAUUGUAAAUAAGGCUCUCAAUUCAUCUAAGAGAACAAAAACUGUUUUCUUUAUAUUAUCAAAUAUAUGCAUACUCUUGCAAAAGCAUACUAGUGCUCCCUCCAAUCCCAAAUAUAAGUCCAUCUAGCUCUUUAAAAAAAUGCAUCGGAUACAAGUCCAUCAACAAAUCAAAAGCACCUUUUUACCUCAUUUAUUUUGCUUUAGCCCUACACGAAUGCACCUAAUGAAUAGAGUAAACAAGCCGACCACCUUAUAGUACCAACUGUCGACAGCAGAUAGUCUUUGCACCACCAAUGUUAAUUUGUGUGCUUAAAUCCAAAUAGACUUGUAUUCUGGGAAGAUAGGUAUGUUUGGUUGUCUUGCCCAUUAGCUUUGCUUGGCAAAGCAAACCUUGCAAGCAAGGAAAUCCUUGCCCACCUUGCCCAAAUUCAAAUGAAGCAAAGGGACCAAAUAUGCUUGCUUAUCCUCUAACCUUGCUAGGCAAGGCUAGGAAAGGAUGAGCAAGAAAACCAAACAUGCUCUAGUAGCUUCUACUACAAAAGCAUGACUCUUCUAGUGUAGUUUGAAAUGCAAUUUUCAUUUACAUCUUCAAAAUAAAUCUCCAUGAAAUCAUUAUUCCCAAAUGCUUUUGGGCACCAAAUAUGGAGAAAGUAAAGGAAAAGAAAAAUAGAAUACAACACCAUUUGGAUGAUGGCAGACGGCAGAGAAACACAGCAAUUUCAGUAGAGAGGUUUGCACAAGAAUUUUUUUUCGAAAGGUUCACCAUAUCGGAGAUUCAUCAAAUUUCCAGUGCAAGCUACUCAAUAAAAAUUUCAUAUAAUUUUUAAACACAUUCUUUUGUUAUGAAGGGCCUCAACAGUAACAUUUCAAGGAAUCAAAACUUUAAGAUUCCCUUAUUUCCCCCAUGUUCAGAACAAUGCCUCAAAGACUUUGUCUAAUGCUCCUAAAUCACCAGCACACCUAAUUAAUCACCACCACUACUUGGUAAGCAAGAUAACUUCAGGGACUCCUCAUUUUUGCAAGCCUUAUGCGACUACAGUCCUUGCAGAUGCCCAAAACAACAGGCCUGAAGUCGACACAUAGUUCACAUGAAAGAAAAGGGUAGCUGAAUAAGAACAAAGAGAAUAUCAGACCAUCAAUAUUGUGGCAAAAAGUUAAACAGCAGCGCUGACAUCAUCACAAUUUAGCCAACAUCCACAAAAAAGAUGAUCACAACAGAAAGGGCUUUUCCUGUUCAUUCCCCUUGAAUUUAUUUGCAAGAUUACAUAUUUCCAGCCAAUGGGUGGGAUCCAAGGAACCAAAAUAAUCCAAAAAAUUUAAUUGAUACGGUAACCGUAGAAAUUCUCUUUCUGACUGAGAAAAGUUCCCACCAAACAUGUUGGUGGGACUAGAUCAUAAUGGUAGAUCAACUCCAAAAUUUAAACCAUAAAUGGCUUAUGGCUUGAUGAAUCAGAGGAAAACAAAGAGUAACCUUGUUCAAAGUACAAAUGGAAGGAAAAUGUAAAUCUAGCCACACAAUCGGGGGAACAUAACAGACAGAAACUAUAAUCAUAUCGUCCAACUACCUUUAGAAGUAUUUACACUGGGCAAGGUAGAGAGAACAAAAUAAACAAUGCACUUAUUCAAGAAAACCUCACAAAUAUUAGUUGAUAAGAGUCCAUGCUCUAUAAUAUAGUUAUAGUACCAGACACACAUCUCCAUACUGGGUAAGAAUUAUGAUCAAUAGAUAUGCCCAAGCAUCUAGUAACUAAACUCGAGAGAUGCGAAUCAAUGUCAUCAGCUCCAGUCCAAUUCAACACAAUCCACGCAUGCAGGUGGCCUAAUAGAUUAAAUCUUUGGGUAUCACAGAAGACUACAGCAACAGGCAAAUCCUAAAUGAACUAGAAAGGACAGAUACAGGAAAUGUGUUAAUCGUAUUACCUUAGCAGCGACAAUCUUCCAUUGCUUGCCAUCCCACUUGUACUGUGGCUUUAGCAAUUCCACGACCCUGGUCACCAGCUGCUCCGCCUUCUUGCCAAGGAUACUGACCUCAAACUCACCGUCCCCAACGGCCCUGCAGAUCACUCCCGGAGACCACGCCCCAUCGCAGUAGGCCUCCACGGCGGCGCCAGGAACCAGCUGGAACUCGCUGGGAUGAGGCAAAUGCUCGACAGCCGGCCUUAUGAAGCGCCAUUCCAGGUACUCGGUGGCCUUCUCCGUCCCGCCAUCCCCUUCCUCGUCCAAAUCGAAGUACUCGACGAUGUAGCUGAAGUCGUCGACGACCUUGGAAACCGUCGCGGGGAACCAGGAGUAGCCGUAGACGUCCCGGUCCCUCCUGGCCUCGACCUUCUCCCCGACCUGGUACACCCUAACCUUGCGCUCGGGCCGUACGGCGACGACGGACCGCGAGGGGACCCAGCCCCCGCCGCCGACGUAGUCGCGGCGGGGGCGGACGAGGCGAGGCGGGAACGGGAUGACCUCGCGGGUGAGCGGGAACGCGACGGUGACGGUGGCGCCGGGGUCCGGGGAGCCCGGCGCGCGCACGACGAUGCCCGACCACCACCCGUCCUUGUGGAAUGCCUCGACGAUGUCGUGGAGGCGGAACCGCGGCGGGAAGUCCUCGGAGGGGGGAGGGGGCCGCGGGCGGAUGUGGGUGGGCGCGAAGUGCUCCGCGAGCACGCCGCCGCCGUCGUCGGCGAGGAGGUGCUCGUACGUGACGGUGUAGCGCGCCGGGGUGCGGGGACCGCGGGCGGGCGCGAAGCCGACGACCGUGGCCUCGAACCAGGAGCCGCCGAAGCCGUGGGCGUCGACGCGGACCUCGACCUCGGCGCCGGUGGGGAGGGGCUCGGGCACGGGGGAGGAUGAGGAGGAGCCCGGCGGCGCGGACGGCGGCGGCGGCGGCGGCGGCCGCCGCGGGGACUUGCUCCAGCGGGCCCCUCGGCUCUUGCGACGGCGCCGCUUCGGCGGCUUGCGGCCGGCGGCAGCCAUUGGGGAUCGGUCGGGGGUUUUGGGGGAACGGGGGUUUUUGGGUGGUGGUGGUGGUGGGAAUGGCAGGCGCCGAUGCCGUGCGCCGUGUCGGUCGUCUGCUCUGUUUGUGUGGGCGGAGUGGGAGCGCCCAGGCGGGCCAGGCUUUGGGCUCUCGAUGCAGGCGUGGCGGGUGCGACCGGCACGGGCCCAUGCCUCUGCCACCGACGGGUGGGUCCACCGCAUGCGAAGCGGCCACGGGGCCUGCGUGGAAGUGGGCGUGAGUCCGUUGGUGUGCUGUGUUUGACUGGGUAUGCACGGGUUUCUCCGAGCGUGCCGUUCCUGGGCAGCGCAGGGCGGGGCAGCCACGUGGCGGGAUAGCAGGGGCUGUGGGGCCGCGUCGGGGCCACAUGGCAGUGGCGGUGGGGAAGUCGAGCGGGUGUGGUGCGUGGUGGCGGCGUCUCCUUGGUUUUGUCGCGGCGCCACGCCCGUGCGGAAGACGGGGGAAGUGGCGCAUCGGGUAGCGGGAGAUGGGGCCCGCGAGUCAAGCGGGUUCGCGCGAGUAAAGUAGGUGACCGUUUGAUUGACCUACCCGGUGGGAGGGGGACCCAGUCGUCAACUCGUCAUUCCCGUCAUUGAUCUCACGUGGAAUGUUUGACGCUAAUUAAGAAUAUUAAAUCUAAACUAAUUACAAAACUAACAACCUCUAGACUAAAUCGCGAGAUGAAUCUAUUAAAUCUAAUUAGUUCAUGAUUUGACAAUGUGGUGCUACGGUAACCAUUCGCUAAUGAUGGAUUAAUUAGGCUUAAUAGAUUCGUCUCGCGAUUUAGCCUAGGGUUCUGCAAUUAGUUUUAUAAUUAGCUUAUGUUUAGUCCUCCUAAUUAGUAUCCGAACAUCAGAUGUGACAAGGCUAAAGUUUAGCCCCUAGUAUCCAAACGCCCCCUAAACUGAUGGAAGUGAUGGAAGUGUUGGGGUCGAUGAGCUGGAGCUUCCAUGGACUGUGGGCCUAAGGCUAUUCCAGUGGAAAGUUUCAACGUGCGAUUAACAACAGUGACACAUCAUCAAAAGAGUUUUGAAAUCAUGAAGGUAACAAAGCCUUCUAAUGGCAAGUUUCAUUUUACAAUUUUAUAGACAAGGUAUUGCAUUUAAUUAAGAUGAACUUGAUAGGAUGAAAUUGGAUGAGAUGAAACUUUCUAGCCCCCAAUACUAGUUUCAAAGUCUUGGAAACAGUGUAACCCAAGUUUCAUCUAGAUGAAACCCAUCCCUUCUCUCUCUUCAUGAAUUUUUUGCCAUGUCAUCAUUUUUGUCUAUGUAGUACCUUAUUUAAUGAGAUUAACCAUAUCGAUGUUUCCAAGAUAGCCAAUGAAAUGAAAUGGUAUUUAAAACUACCCUCCCCAAUGCAUAAUUUCAUGGUGUGGUUUCAUAGGAUCAAAGUCACAUUUAAUUUCAUGACUCCUAGAGAGUUGGUAUUCGUGUACAGUUAGUUUCAUCCAGAUGAAACUGGUUCCCUCUCUCUCUUCUUUAAUUUCAUGCCAUGUCAUCAAAAAAUCCUAUGUGGCAUAUUAAUGAGAAUGAAACCUCAUGAAACUCCCCAUUGGGAGUAGGCUAACGGGUAAUUUUUCAACUUAAGAAAGCAAUUCUAGGAUUCAAAAACUACCUAGGGAAGAAUGAAACUCUAACGUGCACAAGCUAGCAUAGGACCCACAAAAUACAUGGACUCAUUAAGGUCAUGUUUGGCAUGACUCCAACUCUGGGUGGAGCUGCUCCACUCCAGAACUCCAGGUGGAGCCAGCUCUGGGUGGAGUUGGAGCUGUCUGGUGAGGGUGUUUGGCUGGGAGGGUGUCCCUAGCUCCAGAAAAGAGGAGUUUGAGGGUAGAUUGCCUUUCUUGCCCCCUGGUUCGACUUGAACUACUUAUCACAAAUAUAAAAUGAAAGUACAUGCAUUGAAGUCCAAAAUAAUAAUAAAUUACAUAUUCCAAAAAUUUUAAAAUUUCAAAAUAAAUUCAUAGUUCCAACAUAAGGUCGUUACAAUAAUCAUUGCACUAAUUCCAUGUUAGGGCAAUUGAUGUAGCCAUACUAUCACGAAAGAUGUCCAUAGUCACAAAGCUUGAUUCCGAAGUUGAUCCAUCGGAGGCAUGUUGAGACACGGCAUACUUGUUGUAUCUUUCCGGAAUAGUAGGCAUGUAGGUAGGAUCUCUAUCAAAAUUAGCAAAGUCCACAUCAACGCUAGCAUGUUCACGUAUGAAAUUGUGUAGAACCAUAGUAGCAGCAACAAUCUUCUUUUGUGUGACCAUUGAAUAACCGGGCAUCUUAUAAAGGAUUUGCCAUUUCAUUUUUAAUACUCCAAAUGACCGCUCAAUAACAUUACAAACAGAUGAGUGUAUAUGGUUGAACUUCUCUUUUGGAGUAUUUGGUUCCAUACCUCGAUGCCACUCGGGUAAGUGGUACCUUUCACCCUUGUAUGGAGCCAGAUACCCCGGACGAUUAGGAUAGCCCGCAUCUACAAUAUAGUACUUGCCUACACAUAUGUAAAAUAAGAUAAGUUUGUGCAUACAAAUAUGAAAAGGAACAUAAGGAAAAAUCUUUACCUUGAGGAGGAUGUGGGAAGACAUUUACAUCUGCUUCCAAUGCAUGGUACAAUACACUAGUGUCAUGCAAAGAACCCGGUUGACCCGCAGCCACAUAGGUGAAGCGCAUAUCAAAAUCACAAAUGGCAAGCACAUUUUGAGUUGCAAUUCCAGUCUUACCAAUAUAUCUCACUUGUUCUUCAGGUGAUAAAUACACACGAAUAUGGGUUCCAUCAAGUGCACCAAUGCAAUCCUUAAAGUGUGGGUAUGCUCUCUUGUCAUUCCUAAUCCUUUUGUGCACAUUGCAAAAAUUAGGAUCUGUUGGUCUCAAGAAAUCUUGUGCCAUGGCAACCACACAAUGUAGAACUUUAUGAAAUUUUCUACUAAUGGUUUCACCUGAGUGUUUGAACUUAUUUUAUCCUCUUCUAUUUGACUCACACCCACCACAUGUGAAUAGGAAAAUGGCCAACAUUUCAUAAGUAUUCACGUGCUUCGAUGGUUUUAAUCUGUACCUCUCAACCAACACAUCAUGAAGAUCCUGAAAAAUAACCUCAUUUAUCCGAAGCAUUCGAUGGCACUCCCCUGGAGUGUUUACCGUCUCCAUCAGCCAUCCCAUUCCACUUUGUUGUGAAAACAUAAAUCUCGGCGGUGCCUUAUCCAUAUAUGAGUCAUGAUAACUUUGUGCAAGCUUACCACAGCUCUCAACCAUUUUAAAAAAAUAUUCACCAUCAGACUCACUAGAUUCAUCAGACUCACUUGAAGACAUCUAUGAACAUUGAUAUAAAUGAAAUGUAAGAUACAACUGUCAUACAUAAAUAAAAUGCAAUAAAAUAAAAUGUACCACACAUGAGACAAAAAUAAAAUAGUAGCAUACACAAAUGACAUCACUCUCACUAAGCCAAUUUCUACUUUUCAUAUUUAUCAUUGUACUUCCUCCUAAGCCAAUUGAACCUAAUCUCAUUAGUAAGCAAGGUCAUGAACAUCUCCCUUUGCUCCUUCUUCACAAACAGCUCAGAUAUCAUGUAAUGUUCAUUGCUAUCAUAGCCGGCCCCACAAGUAAUCACAACCUCCAUCACUUCAUCAAUAGAAUAUUUUUCAUGUCUCUUAGAAACAUAUUUAUUGGUUGAACUUGCCAUACUUGUUAUUGCUUCUUGAAUUAGGAGUGCAUUUCCACACUUCGCCUUCUUGCCACUUCUAUCAACAGACAUUGCCAAUCUCUUGCCACUCGCGGGUGGAGGAGUAAUACCAAUAUCCUCCUCUUGUGUAUCCUGAAUGAAUUCAUCAUAUUGUGGCUCACAAUUGAUUUCCUCAUCUUGUGUCUCAUCCACAUUUUCUGGUGCUUCAACAUUCACAACAUGAGGAGACCAAUGAUCAAUACCAAUAGUAGUGAUGUUAGAAAAACACUUGGAUAAUUCAUCUUCAUUCUCAAGACCCUUCUUUUUGAACUUUCCACAACCCGGAAUGUCCUGAAAUAAUCAAAACAACACAUAUUAUUAUAAGUAUUACUAACAAAAUUGACGUAUGCAAAACAUAUAUAUCAAAAAAUUUUAACCAACUUACAGCUCUAGCUUUUUUCCACCAUUCGUCAUCCAUAGCAAUAGUCUUCUUUAUAGGAUCCCAACCAGUUCCUGUUUGCCUCAGCAUUAGUUUCUUCCAUGCCUUGAAAUCUUCCUUUAACUUGUUCCAUUUGUUCUUGAUCUGAGCCUUCGUAACCACUAUUCCAGUCCUUUCUUUGAACCCUUUCUCAACCUCAGCAUACCCAAGUGCAUUCAAGUGUGUGUUUGGCCGAUUUCCUUUUCCAACUUGUUCGGCAAAUAACAUACACAACAUCCGAGUGUUCUCUGAGUUCCAAUCAAUUUUAGGCAUCUAUCCAACUCAGAAAUGUCAUAUUAGAAUGCAUUAAUCUACAAGUCAGUUACGGUACAAAUAAAGCUCAUUUGCAUUGUACAAAAAUGAAGCCAAGGAAGUACUGCUAAACGUGUAGCCCAGCAGUAAAUAAAUCGCAAAGAGCUAGAUCGGAUAUCAGCUCGUAUCAAGAUAGUUUGCAUUAGACAAGACUGACAGAACCUCAUCCACUAAUCCUUGGAUUUUAACUAGCUAAUGACAGAGUUCAAUCAAAGGUAUACAUUUGUUCCAAUCAAAGGAAAAAAACAAAUGGUUUACUCUGCAAGAUAAGUUUGGAUAGAAACACACCUAAUUACACAAAGAAUUGAGAAAAAUACAGGUGGCACCAUCUGCCGAGUACCUUGUUCGAGCAAAUGGUUUACUCUUCUCCGCUUCAAUCUCUUUUAUUCUAGCCUCAGCUUCUCGCUUUUGCACCAAUCCUUUACCCCAUUGUAUAUGUAUUUCGUGCCAAUAAGUACAACAAUGGUCAUUGAAAGCUAAAAGCAGGAACUUGCUUUUGAUUAAACAUAGUUACAACUAGUAUGGGAGAGGACAAAUUUGUCAUAACACCAGCAAGAAGCUUCGAGUCUGUUCUAACUAUAAUAGUUAUAUGUACUAGUAUAUUUUCAGUUCAGUAGCCUCACUUCUGACUUUACCAUAGAACCUCAACUAAAAGAGCAAUAACAACGUCUGCAUAUUGUGUUUUCCCACUGAUUUUAGUCCAUGGCGUGUGCAUUGAACUGCCUGGAAGGAGUGACUUGUUGCAAAGCUGAAGGAGCACUGUUUUUGGACAAGUGAGUAAAAUGCGUUCAUGUUUAUGUACUUAUUUUUAUAAACAGAUCAGAAUAUCUGUGAUAGAUAAAGAAACAAAGGCACAAACAUAUUUUGUUUCAGAAUAAAACAGAAUGUAUACAAAUUUCAUAUAUGAGGUUCUCAUUAUGCUAAGCAAUUUCUACUGGAAUAUAACUGAACCGCUAACAUGCUACUGCAUCGAGUCAUCUAAUGAAUUGAUCUAUCCAACAAGAUAUUUUCAGCAAACUAGAACUGCUACAGGUUCAGGCUAAUGCAUCGAUCUAUCUAAUGAAUCAAUCUAUCCAACAGGACUAAUUUCAGCAAUCUCGAACGACAACAGGUUGUCAUUAUGCAUCGAUAUAUCCAGCAGGCUAAUUUCAGCUAACAAGACUCUAAUGUUAUAGAAGCUAGUACACAAAUCAGUUGCUACAAUAAUGUAUGGAUCUAUAACAAAGCAUGCAACCCAAUUGCACCAGCAUUGAACGGCGGCCGAUGGGCACAGCAGAGCAUGUAACGGCGGCCGGUAGCAAAAACAAAACAAAGGAGGCACCGUACCUUGUGAACGGCGGUCAGCGGGGGAUCUCCGGACGGCUGUUGGUGGGCCCUGCGGCCGGCGAGGGAUCUCCGGCGACGGGGGGUGCGGCUGGCGUCGAGGCUUCUGCGGCAGGCGGCGGAUCUCCGACGACGGGGAGCUACGGCCGUCGGUGGAGGGCUGCGGCUGGUGGGGGAUCUCCGACGACAGGGGCCUGCGGCCGGCGUUGGGGCUUCUGCGGCAGGCGGCGGCCGGCGGCGGGCCUUGUGCAGAUCAGGCGGGAGACGGAGCAAGGCGGCCGGGCGGGGGUAGGAGACCGGCGGCGGGGCUGUGCCGGCCGGCGUCGGGUCUGGGCCGGCCGGCGGCGGAGGUGGACGGCGGCCGCGGGUCUGCCUAGCGGCGGCAGAAACCCAACCGACGGCGGUCUCGCAAGAAAAGUCGGGACGGAGGGAGGCGCAAGAUGAGGAAAAUGAGAUGCAUGGGGAGACUCGGAGAAUAGAAUCGAAAUAUUUUUUUCGUAACCAGUGGCAUUGGUGGGUAAUUACCCACCAACUCCACGAGGAGGUUCAAAAGAGAGGGUUCUGGAGCAGCAAAAGAGGUGCUCCAAAACUCCACCUUCAUUUGCACUACAGCUCCAUGGAGUUGGCAGCUCCAUGGAGUUUUGGAGCUGGGGUGUUUGGCUGAAUUUUUUAGUGGAGUUGCUAGAGUUCAGGAGUGGAACCAUGCCAAACAGGGCCUAAAAAAUCACUAGCGGUGGGUGCACAUAGCCAUGCAUUGCUAUUGAUCCAGGUGCAACUAGAAUUUUCACUAACUUCUUAGUGAUCAGUAGGGGUAUAUAUGUCUGUUUACAUGUUAUUGAUUUGUGUGAAGGAUGUUAGAGCUGUAUUCUUUCUUGGACAGAGGAAGUAGAGGAUGGGCAUGUUCGCUUCAGCUUAUAAGCCGGCUGAAAAGCUGAAGCGGCUGAUUUGUUGUGAGAGAAAAACACUGUUUGGUGGCUGAUAAGCCGACUGAAUAAGCUGAAGCGAACAGGCCCGAUAUAUUUCAAUUUCAAUAUCAAUCUUUUCAUAAAGAAACCAUUCAAUUGGUUUUGUUGGUGGAAGCUAGACUUUCACUAGUAGAGAACUGACCUUCAAUCCAAGUGCUUUUGUCUCGGUUAGCUUUGGAUGGGACUAAAGUGCUUUUAGUCCUGGAUCAAAAAAGUGCCAACAAAAGCCACCGCGGGGGGGCUUUAGACCAACCGAGACUAAAGCCCAGUUGUAAUGACUAUAAAAAAUCGCACCGACCCCCCCUCCUUGUUCCGGUUGAAAAUUCCAUUUGGGACAAAAGGGGGGGUCUUUUAUCCUAGUUGGAAUUUCCAACCAGGACAAAAUCUCAUCCCUUAUAAAUCUAGAACUCUUCUUCCUCCCCCAGCAAGAGCCACUCCACCUAACCGAGAGCUUCAUCCUCCUGUCCAUGGGGGGCAAGCAACCUUAGGGGAGGUGCUGCCCAAAUUGUUUUCCCCAUUUCCAUGGGAAUUUCACUCAUCCAAAGUGUUGUGAAGGUUAGCUACUUCAUCCUCCCUUUAUUUAUUAUUAUUAUGCUUUGUUUUAUGCUUUAUAGAGGGAGAAAAAUGAGUUUUUUAGAAUGAGAGAGAAUGGAGAGGAUUUUUAUUUAUACAUGUUUUUUUAGCUAGAAUUUGAUGGAUAGCUUGCUUGUUAUAUAUGAUUCGUAUAGUUAAAAGAACUUGAUCAAUAUUAGGUAUGGAAAAAAAUAGAGUAAAUGGGUUUUUAAUAUUUAGUCAUUGCAACAAAAUUAAGAUAAAUAAAUUGUAGGUGUAAGAAAUAGAAUUUGGUCAUUGCUACAAUUUUUCAUAUCACUGUAAUUUAACAAUAAUUGUAUUUCUUUGACCAAUAAUUUAUUUAUCUCAUGUUUAUUGCAAGAACUAAAUAUUAUAAACACACUUACUCUAUUUUUUCUCCUACCUAAUAUUGAUCAGGUUACUUAUCUAAUACGAAGACCUAUGUCCAUUUCUCACAUAAUACGAUGUAGAUGGACCGGCAAUGAAUGUAUGUCGCAAACAGACGAACCAAGGAGUUUGUUGAUGGCUUGCAUUAUUUUCUCAAACUGGCCAAAGCCAACAAGCCAAAGAACAGAUUCAUAUGUUGCCCAUGCUUCCAAUGCAGUAACAAGAAGGACUACUCUUCCUAGGAGACUGUUCACAACCAUAGGUUUAGAUAUGGUUUCAUGCCUAACUAUUUGGUUUAGACCAAACACGGUGAAAGAGGGGUUAUAAUGGAAGAUGGCAAAGAAGAGAAGGAUGAUAACAAUAUUCCAGACUAGGCUACAGGCUAAGCUUUUGUAGAUACUAUAAUGAGCGAGGCUGAUGAAGAUGAAUUUGUAGAAGAUGAUCCUAUUGAUGAUCUUGUCAGUUUCUACGGGAUGCACAUAGAGGUUGCGAAACCGAGAAGGAAUCAGAAAAGUUGUAGUGCAUGAUACAUGAUCACAAAAAAUUGUUGUACCCGAAUUGCAAGCAGGGGCAUAAAAAACUAGGUACCACACUAGAACUGCUGCAAUGGAAGGCAAAAAAUGGUGUCUGAUAAGGCAUUUCAACGGAUAUUGAAAAAAAAUGUCAAUAAUAUUCUUCCCGAGAAUAAUGAAUUGCCGUCCACAACAUAUGAAGCUAAAUAGAUUAUUUGCCCUCUAGGAUUGGAGGUUCAGAAGAUACACGCAUGUCCUAAUGACUGUAUCCUCUAUCGUGGUGAUGAAUACGAGAAAUUGAAUGCUUGUCCUGUGUGCGGAGCGCUGCGGUAUAAGAUCAGGCGAGAUGAUCCUGGUGAUGUCGAGGGGCAGCCUCCCAAGAAGAGUGUUACUGCGAAGGUGAUGUGGUAUUUCCCUAUAAUACCACGUUCGAAACAUUUGUUCAGAAACAAGGUGAAUGCUAAAUUGAUUUGAUGGCACAAAGAAGAACGUAAGCAAGAUGAGAUGCUGAGACACCCCGCAGAUGGGGCCCAGUGGAGAUCAAUUGAUAGAGCAUUCCCGGACUUUGAAAGUGAUGCAAAGAAGAUAUGGUUUGAUUUAAGUACUGAUGGAUCCAAUCCAUUCGGUGAGUUGAGUAGUGGUCAUAGUACUUGGUCUGUGACCAGUAUGUUCAACCUUCCUCCUUGGUUGUCAAUGAAGCGGAAGUUCAUUACGAUGCCGGUGCUUAUCCAAUGCCCAAAACAACCCGACAACGAUAUUGACGUGUACCUAUGACCGUUGGUUGAUGAACUUUUACUACUCUAGAAGAAAAAAGGUGUACGUGUGUGGGAUGAGAUUAAACAAGAGAGUUUUGACCUAUGAGCGUUGUUGUUCGUAACCAUCAAUGAUUGACCUGUGCUGAGUAACCUUUCAGGACAGAUAAAAAAGGGAUAUCAGGCUUGCACCCAUUGUUUAGACGACACAGACAACAUGUAUUUGAAACAUUGUAGGAAGUUCAUGCAUAUGGGUCAUCGACAAAUUCUUUCUGCUAACCACCCAUUAACAAAAAAAGGGAUGAAUUUCAAAGGGGCCCCAGACCAUCGGAAAAAACCUGCACACCAUAAUGGAAAACGUGUAUUUGAGAUUAUAAAGGAUGUAAGGGUAGUGUUUGGAAAGGGUCUUGGUAGCGAACCUGUUCCAAACGACGAUAACGGACAUUCACCCAUGUGGAAGAAGAAGUCUAUAUUUUGGGAGCUACCUUAUUAGGAAAUCCUAGAGGUCCGCAAUGCAAUAGACGUGAUGCACCUGAUGAAGAAUCUUUGCGUGAACGUGCUAGGCUUCAUGGGUUGUUAUGAGAACUCAAAAGAUACAUUGGAAGCCUAACAGGAUCUGAAACGUAUGAAGCAACGAGAUGACCUAAUGGAUAGCAAGUUAUACUCUCAGCAAGGAAGAGAAGGAUAGCAUGUUUGAAUGCAUGAAUAGUAUCAAGGUUUUGUCUAGGUACUCCUCAAAUAUAAAGAGAAUAAUAAAUAUGAAAGAAAAGAACUUAACAAAUCUCAAGGCCCAUAACUGCCACAUGUUGAUGACUCAGUUGCUUUCAGUUGCACUGAGGGGUAUUCUACCAGAGAAUGUAUGAUUGGCGCUCGUAAAGCUAUUCUACCAGAAAAGCACUAACAAGAAUGGUGGUAUCCGCAUAGAUGCCAUAGAUAGCAACAGGAGCAAGGACUCAUCUUAUGGUUUCAUAGAGGAGAUCUAGGAACUCGAAUACGGACUGCUGAACAUCCCUUUGUUUCGUUGCCAAUGGGUAAAGCUAACUGGAGGUGGCAUAACGAAAGAUCAGUAUGGAAUGACAAUAGUGGACCUGACCAAGACUGGAUACAAUGAUGAACCAUUCGUCCUUGCCAAUGAUGUGCACUAUUUUUUCUAAGUGAAGGAUAUGUCUAGCAAACCCAAGAAAAAUUUAGAAGAUAAAGAAAAACUAUGGGAGCCAAAAUGCCACAUAGUUCUUCCAGGUAAAAAAAAUCAUGGGAGUUGAGGACAAAAGAAACCAGUCAGAUGAUUAUGAUCAGUUUGAUGGCAUGCCUCCAUUUGUUGUUGAAGUUGACCCAAGCAUCAUGCUAGUCAAAGAAAAGGCUCCGUACUUACAUCGCGAUCAUGACCAAGGAACUUUCGUCAAGAAGUUUUUUAAUGUUACAUUAUAAUGCACUAAAUAUGGUUCAUCUUUAUGUAAUGCUCUAUGGCCAUCAGAACCUUUGAAUUAUAUUGUAACGCUCUAUAAUGAACAUUUAUUCGAUCAAUAUAAACAAUGUUAACUUAACCACAUAUAUCAAUUACAUUUUGCGCGUUGAAAUUAUUUAAUUGAAGAGUUUGUUGAUCAAUUGAUGCAUUAAAAUAAUUAUUUUAGAUGUCAAACUUAUUUUUAAUAUACUUGCUUAUUUAAUAUAUUUUUGCAUGUUCAAAAUAUGUAAAGUUUCUAUUUUUUUCUUUAACAAAACCAGUAGAAAAUAACUUAAAAUAUACAUAAAUUAUAAUUGGAAAAGAAGCGGGAAAUGAAAAAUCCCACAAGGGCUUUUAGACUAAAGACACCUCCUUUAGUCCCGAUUGCAAUUUGCAACCAGGACUAAAGGGUGCAUUUUCAGUUCAUGCGAGAAAAGCAUCCUUUAGUGCCAGUUGCAAAUUGCAACCGGGAUUAAAGGGGGGGGCUUUAGUCCCAGGUUGAAUUUGCAACCGGUACUAAAGGUCCUUUAGUCCCUGUUCCAAAGUCACCCGGGACUCAGGGGGGUGGGGGAGGGUUAAGACACGCCCCCUUCUCCCUGUGCCUCGUCUCCCACACUCUGAUCCGCCGCCCCGCGCCCACUCGUCUCCUGUCCGCCGCCCGACCGCCAUCGUUCACCCACUCCCAUCUGCUGCCCGGCCGCCGUCCGUAUGCCCCGGCCUCCGUCGUCCUUCUGACCCGUCUGCCGUCUCCCGCGGCGCCCCAACCCGCCUGCCAUCCAAGCGUCAGCCCCCGCCUCCGCCCAUCCCGGCCGUCGCCGUCGUCGCCCGCCUCGUUGCCGGCCCCGUCCAAGACCCCGCUCUUGAUCCGCCCACACUGUCGUCUGGCCCCGCCAUCACCCGCCCGCGCCGUCGUCCACCCGCGCCGUCGUACCGGCCCUGGCUGCCAUCGUCUACCCAUGCCGUCGCCCGCCCCAACCCGCCGUUCGAGCGCUCACCCCGCCGUCGUCCACUCCCGUCAUCUGUGCGCCUGCUCCACUGUUAAUUGUUUAUUAGUAUGGAGUAAUUAAUUAUAAUUGCACAUUACUAUUUUUAUUUCAUUAUAAUUGUGUAUUAAUUGUUUUUAUUUAAUUAUAAUUGUGUAUUACUGUUAUUUAAUUACUGUUUUACUGUUAAUUGAUAUUCCUAUUAAUAUGGAGUAAUUAAACUUAGAGUUAUGCUUCAGAUAUUUACCCGCAAUAAACUUAGCUUCAAAUAUCUUCAAGUAAUUUCCAAAUCCAUUUACCUGAUAUUCCUAUUAAUAAAAGACACAAUUUCCCUUCUAAUAUGAUGUGCUCAUGCAUUUCUAGAUUUACUAAUGCAAAAAUUUUAGGAUUAUCUUGUAAUUUUUUCUUAUUUAUAUGGAUGCAUCGAAAUGUGGAUGUUAAGUUAAAAACAAUUCAACCGUACGUUAAAGUCAAACUUUAAGAGACACACCAAGUUAAACCUUCCAUUACGAAAACCAAUAUAAACUCACUUAACAUGACUUAAAUGUAGAAGACUAGAAUAUUGCUAGACAAAAUGGCACAAAUGUUUUUUAUGCUCAUCCAAAUAUUCAUGCAUAACAGCAUAUAUGUAUGACCAAAAUUUGAAUAUGUUUUUUUAUUAUGAUUUUAUAGUUUUAUGCACUACUUCAUUCAACCACUAGAAUGAGGAUGAGGGUAGCCAAGCGGACAUGUUGUUCAACAUGUCCGGUGAUGGCAAUGAUGAGCCCGAUCACCGCGUUGAUGACAAUGCGGAACAAAAUCUUGCAGUGACAGAAGGUUCCGGCGAGGUAUAUAUCAUCUUCAUUGUUUUACCCCAUCUAUAAUUUCAUAUUCAUUAUUACUAUGUACUAAAUAACGAAUCUUGAAUUGUUACCCCUCUGGAUCGACGAAGCAAAAUAAGCCGUGAGGUCGUACAAAGAUAAUGGAGGGAAGGCUUCACAUCAUGGAAAUGACAGAAGAGGGCAAGCCAAUUGCUCCCGAACAUGUGGCUAGAAACUUUGUGAGUCAGAUCGGGGCUAUUGUAAGGGACAACAUGCCCAUCAGCAUUAGAGAAUAGAAGGGUAAACAAGAUGAUCCAUACAUGCUCCCGUAGACACAAAAAGGAUAUGUUGUGGGCAAAUUUCAAGAAACACUUCACACUUCCUGAAGGUGUCGAAGAAAAAGAUGUGAAAGAGUAGAUGUUGAAGAAGAUGGCAAUCCAAUUCCAGAUCUUCAAGAAGAAUCUGGAUGCCAACUUUAUCAAGAAAGGCUAAACUCUAGAUUUUGAUGAGUGGCUAAAGUUAAGAGACCACUGGAACACAUUUAUCGAAUACAAGAUAAGCGAAGGUAGUGCGAAUAAGUUUCAUGUCAACGUUGUCAAUGCUAGCAAGAAGGAGUACCAUCACCGUAUAGGGUGAGGUGGUUACAUGAGUGCAAUUCCCAAUUGGAAAAAUAUGGAACAAGACCUAUUUGAUCGAGGUAUCGUACCAGCAACUAUUGACUGGCCCGAUCGAUCGAAAAAUUGGUAUUACGCUCAUGGAGGCAACCUGAGCCAAGAGGAUGUGACACUUAUGUUCAAUGAAACAAUACGUCAGAAGGUCGAAAGGCUUAUCAAAAACAUUGAAGAUGCUAAAGCUGGGAAGUUGAAGGUUGAUAGAGAUAACGAUGAGCUCACUUUGGUGCUCAGGAAUCCCGAACACCCAAGACGUUGCUGAGGCUACAAGAUUCUUCCGUGGAAGUUCGCUUUUUGUAGGGACAUUGACUCGUACAGAAGCCGUAAGCGAAGAAAGGAACUGGAAGAGGAGAGCUGGAGGCGCAUGUUAGAAGCCAAAGUGCAUUCACAAGAAGUAAGAAUGUAGGAAGAAAUUAAUCAUCGAGUGGCUCUGGUAAUUAUUGAGAUGGACCAAUCUAGAGCACUGCCGGAUCCCAACAUCGUCAGCCCUUCUCAACGUUGAAGCAGCUAUGCUUCCAUAAGGGUCCCCGAUGAGCACCUGCCAAGAUUACCCGUGGACAACCAACGGUACCCUGUGGAUGACAUCACUCAGCGCACCUCAUGUGAGCUACAUAGACCAUUAGGCAACAUCACUAUUAAGGUAUACAAAUAUAUAAUUUAUGCAAUCUUCUCAAUUGAUCCACACCUCGGGAGUUUAAUAACUUCUUUAUUUCUCCUAUAUGUACAGGUGGCGUACAGGAGUGCUUUACCAAUCCUGCCAGGACAGAUAAGCCAUGGCAUGGAGAUUCCACUUGGCUACUCCAGCGUUGGUCUAGAGCAGAUUUGUGAUAGUCAAUAUGAAGGCCUAGAGCUCGACCUCCCGUGAGGUGAUGGGGAUGCACUUCACGGGAUCAUUCUAUAGCGCAAAUGCUACAUCAUCAUCCCGGACAAGGAGGCAUCAUUGCUCCCUGUAGAUCCCCUGCAACGACCAUCUUCUCAGAACUCAAGACCGUCAUGUCCAGCACAUCCUCCUCCAGGACCGUCGUCACCACUGGGACCAUCACAUCCUGCUCGAUCACCAUCUCCAUCUCUAUCGAAUCCUGGUGGUGCGAGCGACGACGACCACAACACCCCUCCCCGAUCACCGUCGCUUGGACUAAGACCCGCAACGAGCAAGGAACCUGUAGCACCUCUAAAGAAGCCAUGACCACCACCUUCCAAGCCAAGGCAGCCAAAGAAAACAAAGAAUUCUAAACCCAUUCAGAAGCUACCGCCCGAUAUGACUACUGAGGAAUUCUGGGAGGUAUCGCAAGCAAUGGUGAAGGAGUUCUUCAAAACAUGCGCUGAACAAAGAAAUGCAAAGGAGAUGGCGCCAAAGCCAGUAGAUCCAACAAAAUUAAAUUUUUUUAUUGGCAUGUCAAAAGAAGUAAAGAGGACUGCACUAUCAAACUACGAGCAUUCAUUAGUUAAGUCUGAUCAGAAGAAAAAAUGGCAAGGAGCGUCAUUUUCCAGUCAAACUGUCCCCCAGCUCGGGGAUCUACCAGAUAAAGAUACUCAAACUAUAGCAUCAAUGCCCUUAAAACAACAAAUCAGAAUCAUUGGAUUUAUGCAAGAUACAGGUAUGUCGCUUGCUGAAGUUCUAAGGCAAGUUGAACCGCCAGCUCCAGAGGCAAUUGUACCUAAAUGGCCCUUUGAGGUAGGCAAGCCUCUAGUAAGGUCUGAAUUGGUACGGAAGCUCUCCAUGAAGAUGUACGAAUUCCAUGAAUGUUACAUGGAGCAAUCUGCCAACGAGAGGCUCAUGUUCGCUCUUCGGGUUAAACCGAUUGAUUUUUUUGGCGAAGGUGAGAAACUGCUUUGCAUGGAAUUCAAGGAUAUAUAUGAAGUGUACCAUCAUGAUGUCCUUGACGUCUCUCUCAUCAGCGCCUGGGUUCUGUAAGUGUCCGUUUAACAAUAUGUAAAUUUUGGCUCAAAUUAUUAUUUUUGUGUGUGCGUCACCCUACUAACUUCGUCUUCCAUUUUAUGUAGGAUGCUAAUUCAAAGGUGCCGCAGAGAAUCGUACUUCAAUGUUGGCUUCAUGGAUCCAUUGCUUGUUAACCAAACCAGAUACGGGAUCAGCCAAUGAAAAUAUUGGAGGCAGUAUACAAUUUCUUGGAGAAACAAAAUUACAAGGAAUACAUACUACUGCCAUACAACUUUAAGUAAGUAUGGGUACUGUAUAUUUUCAUUUUCUUUUUCCUUACCUAAUUAAUGUUAGUUAGCUCUAAUAUGAAUAUUUAUGUACGCAGUUUCCAAUGGAUUCUCCUAAUAAUUAUGAUUGAUAAAAGCCAUGUUAUUGUGUUCGAUUCAUUGAGGAAACCAUUGGUGGAGUACAAGAUAUUCAAAACAUGCUAAACUUGUAAUAAUUCUGGACCUCUAUCUCUAUGCAAAAGUUUGUUUCCUAAAUUUUCACCCAACACUUUAUCAUUUAUUAUUUUAAUCAGCAGCAUAUGGAAAUGAUUCAUUAAGACUCACCGUGGUGACUUCAAAGAAAAACUUACAUUCAAUACAAAGUUCCCGAUAUGUAUGAAGUUUGCACAUUUUGUACAUUCUAUAACACGAAUAUUUCAUAACUUGUUUUUUUCCCACUAAAGUUGAGAUAGGAACAAGACAAUAAUCUAUAUGGAUACUAUGUCUGUGACCACAUGAACAGUUUUGUGCAUGGCAAGGUGCUGUCAUCGCAUGAUCUAGAUGUACGUAAAUAAAACUAUUAAUAAGUAAUUAUUUUUUAGCUCCUUAUAUUUUAUUGUCACAUAUUGCAAAUUACGGAUGUGGCAGAUUCAAGAAAGACUCUAGGAGAAGGAGAUGAUUUUGGCAAUAUGUGAAGGUCUCAUAGGAUUCCUGGUAGACGAGGUGAUAAAUCCCGCGGAGAAUUUUAUUAUGACGGAUGUUCGAUAGCCGCAACAAGCAACACCACGAUGGAAGGAUCAUAGGAAUGAAGAGGAGAAAUUAUUGUAUAUAUAGUAAUUGUAUAAUAUACGGUUGUAUAUAUAGUAAUUGUACAAUAAUUUAUCCUCUUCAUUCCUAGGAUCCUAGUUUGAUGUGUAUAAUAUACUAAGAAUUGUGUAUAUAUAUAUAUUACUAUCAUGAAAUAUAUAUACGACUUGCAUACAAUAUUAAUAUGACUUGCAUACAAUAUUUAUAUGGAAAAGAAUUUUAAAAAAGUCUUAAGUACUAAAGGGGUACGUGCAUGCGCCAUGCAGUCGCGCAUCCAGGCACAUGCAUGUACCCCUUUAGUCCUGUUUAGUAAAACCAACCAGUUUUACCAACCGGGACUAAAGGGUGCCCCGAGACUAAAGGGGGUCUUUAGUCCCGGGUGAAUCCCCUUUUGUCUCGAAAAUUUAGUCCUGGUUGGAUUUUCGGGAUUUAUGGUCCUAUCCAACCGGGACUAAAGCCGCGUUUUUCACCCGUGUUUGUGUUGGUUGCUAGCGUGGCUGUCAGAAUCGCGGUACGUGACGUGGUAGUGUGUGUGUACAUGGCCAUUUAGCCUGUUUAAGCGACGGUACGUGACGUGGUAGUGUGUGUCUACAUGGCCAUUUAGCCUGUUUAAGCGACAUUUAAACGCUACGCUGUAGCUAGACGUGUUCGUUCAAUCAAUCAUUUACCCCGUUUAAUUACCGUUUGACCUGUUUAAAUAUCUAUUUAGCACGAAUAAAUAGCUAAACGAUAGGUAACUGAGUGUUUAGCGUUCAUUGGGAGUCAACGUUACGAAAUGAGCCAUAUAUGGAAGGAUGCUUACUCAAGCUGCAAAUUAAAUUGGAGCUUUUGAACUUUUUCCUUUUAUUUUAGUUUUUUUUUCUAUUGUACACCAUAGCUUGUGAUAUCUUGGCUACAAUCUUGGAACAUAUGCCCGUCUUAUAGGGGUAGCUAAGUUUUUAAUAAUUUUGGUAUGAUGCAACAUCGAAGAUGAUAUUUGAAGGUGGAAAUAUAGUAUGUAUCCAUUAUUUUAAAAAACAGAAAAUCUCAAGGAAUAUUGUUUGUCAGCCCUUUUAGAUAGUGUUUGGUUCACUGAAAGUAACGUAAACACGUUACCGAGUGAUAAUAAGUAGCGUUACAGGCGUUUGUUUUGGCUUGGUCUGUAAUCUAUUACGCUUCAAUCGGAUACCAGCCUAUUCAAAUCGGAUCCCGCUCGUCCCCGGCUGUAAUCGCAUCGCUUCCCUCAAGUACUUUGCGAUACUGUUACCUUGAUUGAACCAAAUAGAGAACGUAAUCGCAUAUUCCAGUGCUGAUUCCCCCGUGAUUCGAUUACAUUUACGUUUGCGUUGCCACUCCUUGAACCAAACACUAUCUUAGAUCAAAGUAUGUGAGUUGAGGUAACCGGAGACACCAUCGUAAAUAAAUGAAGUUCAUGAUGGAAUAGAUAGAUAAUAUAAAUAGAUAGACUGAUAGAUAGAUAGACGGACGGACAGAUAGAUGAUAUAAACAGAUGGACUGGUGGAUAUAUAGACGGACGGAUGGGGAGAGAGAGAGUACCUGUGUGAUGGAUACUAUAUUCGGUUUCUGAUAUCCAUCUAGCUAGGACCUUAUAUGCACGUAAGUUCUUUUGGUACAUAGCACUCCUUCAUAGCACCAUGGUUCUCAACAAGAAACUAGUGGUCGCUGGCUUCACCUUGGCAUUGCUCCUUGUGUCUUGUCGUAAGUUCUCAAGACACUUAUUCAAAAUUUUCAGGAAAAAAAUUGUACAAAACACCAGCUACUACUUCCAGUCUCCAAAUAAGCUUUUCUGGUUGCAGGCGCACAGGGUGCAAGAGCACUC
rnacentral:lncRNA from 1 species